AUAAAGUUCGAAUUGACGAAAUUAUCCGUAAAGAUGUUUAAUUCUGCCGUUAGAAAAGUGGGAAGAAGUAAAUAUACCAAAUUGACAUUUCGUUUUUAUUCAAAUGGACAAGUCAGAAGUACCAUAGACAUUGUAAUUAUGCAAUUAAAUGGCCUUGCCAAAAAUAACCAUUUGCUACAGAAAAGUUCAUAUGCGACAGCCUAAAGAACAUUAAGGUCAAAAUUUACCAGAACCAGUCUUGCCCCUUCUUACCUACUAUUAUUCUGCUCUCAAUUUCUUCAUCAGAAAACUGAAUUUUGCAUCUGCAUCACAUAUUUUCUUUCCUCUACAGGUCCUCUCUCAGAUGCGUGGGCCUCGGUGAACCUCGACCACCCGGCGACAUUUGGGACACUGGCCAUGGACCUAGAGCUCAAGAAGACAAUCAUGGACGAUCUCGAGAGGUUCGUGAGGAGGAAAGAGUACUAUAGGAGAGUAGGCAAGGCGUGGAAGAGAGGGUACUUAUUGUAUGGACCCCCCGGCACAGGGAAAUCAAGCCUGAUUGCGGCGAUGGCCAAUUACUUGAACUUCGACAUAUACGAUCUAGAGCUGAGCGGGCUCCGGAGCAAUGCGGAGCUCAGGAGACUGCUUGUUGCCACCGCGAAUCACUCCAUAUUGGUGGUCGAGGACAUCGAUUGCACCAUUGAGUUGCAAGAGAGGAAAUCCGAAACCCGAGCCGCGCGCAUGAAUAUGAUGUCCACUGACUAUCCACGAGAAGAUGUACAGUUUUUUUUUUUCUUUUUGGCUUUCAUUUUUGGUACAAGGUUAACUCCAGUUGCAUGCUAUGCAUGUGAUUUGUUCUUGACAUUUAACUUGUCUGUUGCUACGAUAUUAAUUUUUGUAUCAUGGAACAGCUGACGCUGUCUGGAUUCCUCAACUUCAUUGAUGGGCUUUGGUCGAGCUGUGGUGAUGAGCGGAUCAUAAUCUUCACUACCAACCACAAGGAGAAACUAGACUCAGCCCUAUUGCGCCCAGGGCGCAUGGAUGUGCACGUUCACAUGUCCUAUUGCACCCCCUGUGGAUUCAAGCUUCUUGCUUCUAAUUAUCUCGGGAUUGAUCACCACGAGCUCUUUGAUCAAAUCGAGAGUUCGAUCACGGCAGCAAGAGUCACUCCAGCCGAAGUAGCAGAGCAGUUGAUGAAGAGCGAUGAACCAGAGGUCGCUCUCAAGGACUUGGUUUCCUUCCUCGCUGAUCACAAGAGGAAAGAAACUGAAGAAGUCAUAAAGGAGAAAGUUUGCCAGUGCCAGUUGGUUGAAGAAAAUGGAGGAACUGAAGAGGAAAGUGAUAAGUGCGAAAUAAUUGAAGAAUAACCAAUACAUAUCGACUAUGUUGAUAUGUUUUGAUCGAUUUUAAUUUAGAUUAUCAUAAAGAAAGUGAUCAUUGAAUAUAAAGUAAUUGUAUGAAGUCACUGCAUGGUCAUCCAAAUGAUUAAUUAUGUGAGUCAAAUGGUAAAAUUAGAUGGUCAAUGGUUUAGACGAACUCGAUUUACAUGGCUUGUCAACCAUGCGAUCUUUUCAUGAUCGAAUAUUCAAAUCAUGCUAAUAUUAUAAUUUGCUUUAUAUAGUUAUAUCACGUCAAGGACACAUAAUGUGGCAUACUAGUUUUCUCAUGGUUUGGACCUUCCACGGAAUCUCGAAUAUGCUUGGGUUGGCUGAAAGCAUUAUUUGUCUGAGCUUGGAUUCUAAUGCAAUUGGACUCAACCUAAUUCUCGAUGGGUUCCUAGUCAUCCGUUGCAAGAGUCAUCUCAUGGGUACAUGCUUCUUUUCCUAGGAACAUGACAAGUUUCGCAAAAGCAGAACGAGCUAGGAAAGGUUCCCUACUAGCAUCGGUCGUAUUCGCAUCGUGCAGUGGGAUUUAAGGAGAGAGCUUUAAGUAGAUCAUCCUAAAACGGAGCUAACUUACUUCGAGAUGCGACCAUUGAAUAAGAUAAAUGCACGGGAUCGGUCGAUCUGAUUUGAAUAUUUGCCGCCACUCCGCAAAAGGAAAAGGCCAAGACCGGCGCCCCGUCGGGGCAAGAACGAAAGCCUACCAAGGCUUGGACUAGGAACACUCCAGGCCUCUGAACCAGCUCAGUCAACAAGGAAUCCAUGCAUUUGUAGAGAGUUCAUUGUUGAUCUCCCAUUCACAUCCCAAAAAAUUCUACAAUAACGGGUCGAUCUCCAAUUCUCUUAUUCAUCGCCACUUUCAUCUCCUGAUUUCCUCCGGUCAUAUACCGUCUGUCCCCCAUAGAUUGAACUGAAAAGAGCGGCGACCCCUGCUCCGAACGACUCCAACAUCGCGGUGGCCAAGGCUGUGCUGUCUGCCGCGGCCUCCGUGAUGGUGGUGCAGUCGGUGGUUCGACCUUCGUCCCUCCCGAGUUCCAGGGCUUCCUCUUCUCUAAGAUCCAUGGCUUCUUGUCUCGCUUCUGCAACGAAAUGACCAUGGUCAUCGAACAGUACGAUGGGUACGGACAAAACGACCUCUUCGGGACGGCCCAGAUUCUCCUGGCCACCAAGCAAUCCCUUUCGAUGCAGCGCGUGCGACUGACCAAGUCCCCGAAGGAGAACCACUUCACUCUGGCUAUGGACCGGAAUCAAAUGCUGGUGGAUACGUUUCACGGGGUCAAACUCAAGUGGAUUUUCGUGUCGAGACAGGUCGACUUGGGCCACCAAGUCCAUCAAGGCUCCACGGUUCAGCACGAAGUUCAGUACUUCGAGCUUAGAUUUCACAAGAAACACAGGGAGAUCGUGGUCAAAUCCUAUGUGUCUUUCCUCAUCGACAAGGCCAAGUCCAUAAAGCAGGGGAAGAAGACGCUGAAGCUAUGCACUCCGGGCUCCGACGGCAAUUAUCUUUAACUAUGUUCAAUUCUACUAUUAGAAUUUAGGAGUGAAAAGCUGUGAUGCUAAAUUCACAAAAACUUCGUUCAAUCGGACUAAGUCGGAAGUAUCAUAUAAAGUCCGGCCAAAAAUAAGUACUAGCUACAUAAAAGUUAAUCAGUAAAAUCCUAAAGCACAUUAAGAUCAAAAUUCACUCGAACCAGCUCGCACCUUCUUAUCUAUGAUUAUGCGCUCAAUUUCUUCAGCAGGAGACCGAAUUUUGUAUCUCCAUCACAAUUUGUUUCCUCUAAAGGUCCGGGCCCGGGCGCGUGGUCCUCGGUGAACCUCGACCACCCAGCAACAUUCCAGACAUUGGCCAUGGACCUAGAGCUCAAGAAGAAGAUCCUUGACGAUCUCGAUAGGUUCGUGAGGAGGAAGGAGUACUACAGGAGAGUUGGCAAGGCGUAGAAAAGAGGAUACUUAUUGUACGGACCCCCUGGAAUGCGGAAAUCGAGCUUGGUCGCCGCGAUGGCCAAUUACUUAAACUUCGACAUAUACGACCUAGAACUGAGUGAGCUCUGGGGCAAUGCGGACCUCAGGAGAUUGCUCGUCGCCACUGCGAAUCAAUCCAUAUUGGUGGUCGAGGACAACGAUUGCACCAUUCAGUUGCAAGAUAGGAAUUCAGAAACACGCGCCGCCAGCAUAAAUUCGAUGUUAAUCGGUUAUCAGCGAAAAUAUUAAGUACAAUUUCUUCUUUUAUGCUUUCUUUUUAAGUAUGAGGUGUAGUUCAAUUGCUGCAUACUAUGAAUACGAUUUGUACUUGACGUUUAACUCAUGUUUGUACCUACGACAAUAGAUUUUUUUACUGAUGGAAUAUGUGAUGUUGUCUGGAUUUCUCAACUUCAUCGAUGAGCUUUGGUCAAGCUAUGGCAAUAGGCGAAUCAUAGUCUUCACGACAAACCACAUUGAGAAACUAGACCCAACUCUAUUGCACCCGGGGCGCAUGGAUUUGCAUGUUCCCAUUUCCUAUUGCACUCCUUGCGGGUUCAAGCUUCUUGCUUCUAAUUAUCUCGAGAUCGAUCAUCACAAGCUCUUUGACCAGAUCAAGAGCGCAAUCGUGACGGCUAGAGUCACUCUGGUUGAAGUAGCGAAGCAAUUGAUGAAAUGCCACAAAUUGAAGGUUGCUCUCAGGGACAUGAUUUCCUUCCUCACUAAUCACAAGAGGAAAGAAAAUGAAGAAGUCAUCAAGGAGAAAGUUCACCGGUCUCAAUUGAUUGUAGAAAUUGAAGGGAGCGAAGAAGAAAGCAGCAAGGACGAGCCGAUAGAAAAAUAAAUAAUACAUAUUGACUGUAAUGAUAUGUUUCCAUUGAUUUUAUUCAAAUUAUUAAAAAGUUCUUUGUUUUCAACAUGAUGAUAUAUGACAACUAGACUCGUCAUGUUGACGAGUUAGGUCGGUUCGAAUCGGAUCGAAAAAAGUCGGACCCUAAAAUGCAAAUUUGGCAACCCAUGUUCAAUAUGAGUCGAGAUCUACUUUAGCAAUUUUUUUCCCUUAAAUCGUGGUCUUUAAAGAAUAGGUGUCUUCAUGGACCGACUCGUUAAGUUAGUGAGGGAGCUCGGAGUUCAGUUAUAGAUGAUAGUGUUAAAAUGGUGGUGAAAGUCUGGCCUAGGCCAUCCAUAAAUCAUGAAACAGGUUUGGCUUUUGAAGUCAUUUCUAGUAAUUUGUAAAAUUUUAAAUGACCAUACGCAACUAGGCCCAUAGAAAGUGAAUUGAAGAAGGGGUUCACAUCCUUAUAUCUUGCUCUAAUGCAACUCGUCUUUAUGGGCAUAUUAAACUCCUGAACCCAGUAGCUGAUUAGUAAGAUUUUCUCCAAGUCACGAAGAAGGAAUUAUUGGACUUGAGUAGGUCCUUAAAAGUCUCAAGGACAAAGAAACAAGUGGGAAAUUCAUUUUGUAGUAGGAGACUCUACAAUGUCACCUUCAUACUCUCACUCAUUCUAAAAGAAAAGCCUGACUGGGAAUCAAGGGACCUAUCGGUGGUGGAGAUAGACACCACGUUCGUAUAUCUCAGUUCCGUUGAGUAGGAGAGUAUAAUAGCUCCUUAAACCUGAGGUGAGGUAGGGUGGCUUCAAAAGCACUGCUCAAGCCUAUCGACUGGCUGCUCACCUUGUACCCUUCGUUAAUAGGUGAGCACACGCCACAACAGCCGAUGAUUGGCUAUAACUUUUCUCUUCCUCACGCUCACGACAAGUGUAAGCUAAUACCGAAUAAACCCUUUACAAACUAGCUGUGAUUUAACUGGCCGAACCAAUUAUUCAAGUCACCAUCGCUGAAGAUUCCUGUACAACUAAUGGGAAAAUCAGAAGGGGGAAUUCAGAUGGACAUUUCAUCGAGCAUGUGCGCGACAACAUGCAUAUUUCCAAUGGAAGAACCCAUUGCUCAUUCGGUAAAGUAAUUUGGUCGCAAUGAUAGAAGAACAAGCAGCAAAAAUAAACUUUCCGAAUUGAACUAACCACUUGAGCAACUUUUAGAAGAAACACAUAGAAGGGCCAUAUGAAUGCUUUACACAAAACAUAAUUUUAAUGUAAAUUGUGAGUUGGAGUAUGAAUAUGACCCAAAUAGAAACAUUGAAAUAAAUAUGGCAAAAAUGGUUUUCGACAAGCCUCGAUCUUUAAACCCUGCCAAAAUAAAAGAAAAAAUAAUGACUAGUGCUUAACGCACUUGAGUUAAAUCGUCCAACAUUAAUAAAUUGAACGAAAUUUUUGACUACCUUUUGAAAGAUGGCCUAACGAAAUUAACCGAAAACCGUGUAAUUCCAAAUAAAGAAGAUUUAGUAAAAACAAAAAUAUUGCAAGUGACACCAUACCAUAACACUAUUGAUUAACACUAUUGAUUUUGUUAUUUUCAAUAGUUCAAUUAAGUAGGGAAAAAUCAAAUUUGAUGAAUAAUUGAUGACCGUUGAUUAUUUAAUUUGAAAAAUCGAAUGGUUGAUGAAUCAUUCAAUUCUUUAUAAAUGUUGACAUCAAAAAAUGACCAAACUUUUAAUUAUUAUUGACAAAUGAUAAACUCAGUUGAUGGAGACACUAUAUCAAAACGAUCGACAAACUUGAAGAAUAAAAAACACGCUAGUGAACUUUUUGACCACACACAACAUGAAAGUUAUCGAUAGGAGCUCUCAUCUAGACUUGAGAAAUGGAUGGACAAAGUCAUAAGCAAUGAGCAAUCAACAUAAAUAUAACUAUUGGGUAAUUAUAUCUAUUGCCACUAACUUAGGAUUUUUGUUUCUUGCAUAUAAGCAUUGCCGAAUAAAUUCUUAUAAAUAAGUGUUGCAUGGAGUAAAUUCUCAUAAUCGCUAAUAGGAUUUCUAUGAAUUGAAAAGGUAUUGUUCUAUAUUGUCAACAAUGAGCUAUAAAUACCCACAUUAUACUCUUGUAAGGGAUCUCCGUCAAUCAACGAACUCAAGUUUUUUUUUUGCAAAUAAAUCUUUAUCUUACAUAAUCGGUAGAAAUUGCCAACAAUUUCCAUAACUCUAGAUACUGUCAUUUUACUUUUCUAACCAAAAUCAACUAAAGACCUUUCACAAUAUUUGUCGAUUCACUUAGUGAUACCUUUCAAUGAGCCGGAUUCUAAUUAAGAAGGGGUAAGGACAUAUGAGGUCAUCACUUGGGUAAUCGGAUGAGAUUUAUGUCUGAUGUAAUCAUUUAGGCUGCGUUUGGUCGUUCAUAUUUCUAUUAGGAUAUGAAUGGAUUGGAUAAGAUAUGAAAUCCUAAGAUAUUUUUAUAUCCAGUCCAUUGUUUGGUAAAUCGUAGUAUUAAAGUUGGAUAUAUUCACAUCAUAUCAUGUACAUUUUAUUUAUUUAUUUAUGUAAAUGGCAUAUCAUUAUAAAUGAAUCUAAAUGUUCAUAAACAAAGAUGGUGAAAAUCUCUUGUAACAUUAUUCUUUAAUUUAUUUUUAAUUUAUUUUUCCUCUUUUUUAAUUUAUUUUCUUUAUUAUUUCUUUUUUUCCCUUUCAUCAUUAUUUAAUAAAUUUGAUCAAAUAGUAAACUAUACUAACAUACCUAAAAUACAAAAAUACCUAAAAUAUAUAAUAAAUUUAGAUAUUUAAUUUAUAGAUUGAAUGUUUAUUAUAAGAUAGAAUUAAAGUUGAAUACAUAAAUUUAAAUAAGAUUAAUUUAAAAUAAAUUUCUAUUUUUUUCAUUUUUAAUUUCUUAAAUUAGAAUUCAAAUUAUUAUUUAUAUUGAAAUAUAAUUUUAAUUUUGUUAAUUUAAUAGGUUUGUUAUUCGAGAAAAAUUUCUUUUCUAUUAUGGAUAUUAUAAAUUAUAUCCACAUUUAUCACACCUCUUCCAUGAAAUAAUUUUAUCAUGCCUAUAUCCCCCUUAUAUCCGACUUUAUCCUAUUCUGAGUGAGCACCGAAUAUAGGAUAGGAUAAAUCAUAUCCUAUUCCAAAUUUUAUCUUGACUGUCAAACGUAGUCUUAUGGAUUGCCCCUAUGACACAACUGGCUUUUGCAAAAGCAGAGAAAAGUGUCCAACUAACGCCGGUCCUAUUCGCAUCGGUGCAGCGCGAGUCAUGGGGGAAUCGAUAAAUAAAAAUAUUCAAGAUGUACGUGAUUGACAAAAUCGAUACCGCGUUUGGAACCCCAUAACUUUUCUUGUCAAUUAAACUCAACUUUAAUUGCUCUAGCCAAUCAGUAAACAAGUUUAUAUACUGCCGAAUUAAACUAAAAUUGAAUCGGAAUGUGCCGUGGACAAGUGGCCUUUGCCUUAUCAUCUGGUCUCCCCUUCACCCUCUAGAACUGCACAGCAAGAUAUCGAUCUCCCGUUCUCAUAUUCAUCGCCAAUUUCAUCUCUCGAUUCCCUCCGGUCGAGUGCCGUCUAUACCGGAGAGAUUGGACUGGAAAAAGAACGGCGACCCCAGCUCCAGACUACUUCAGUAGCCCUGUUGCGGUGGCCAAGGCAGCACCAUCUGCUGUGGCGUCCGUCACGGCCACUGCGAUGGUGCGGAUUUACAAUAUCAAAUUCGUAAGAAGAAUCAAAUUUUUGUUUUGACAAUUCAAUUAUAUUAUGUAUGAUGGUGCAGUCGGUGGUUCAACCAUUCCUCCCCCGCGAACUCAGGGCUUCCUCUUCUCCGGGAUCCGCAGCUUGCUCUCUUGCUUCUCCAACAAAAUGACGAUCGUCAUCGACGAGUAUGAUGUGAUUAACCCAAACGAGCUCUUCCAGGCAGCCCGGGUGUUCUUGCCUGCCAAGCAAUUCCUUUCGAUGAGGUGAGUCCCAAUGACCAAGCCCGCGAAGGAGGACGGCUUAACUCUGGCUAUGGACCGAAAUCAAAUGCCGGUGGAUACGUUUUGUGGGAUCAAACUCAAGUGGGUUUUUGCGUUGAGACGGGCAACCGAGGCCUGAACUCGCCGCCGCCGCAGGAAGUUCAGUAGCUCACUUUUCACAAGAAACAUGAGGAGGUCGUCCGCAAGUCCUACCUGCCUUUCCUCGUCAGUGAGGCCAAGUCCAUAAGGCAGGAGAACAAGGCAUUGAAGCUAUACACUGCGAUCUUCGACCGCGGCUAUGGCAGUAAUUAUGGUCGAACAUUAAGUUGGAAUCAACGAAACCAUCAGUAACUACUUUCAGUUCUACUAUUAGAAGUGUGGAAAGGAGUAAAAUACUAAAUUUACAAAAGUUUUCAAUUAAGUCAGAUUGGCCAAAAAAGACAGAAGAACACUAGGAGUACUAGAACUUUUGUACAAUACUCACUUUAGUACCAAAACUUUUUUUUUUUUCGCUCAAUUGAGUAUCACAUCAGAGUAAAAUUGAACACUUAAAUGCUAAUUCCAACAAAUCAUCCUACUUGGAUUUUUUUGAUUUUAUUUUGAUUUUGCUUUUUGUUUUUUUUUUUUGGCUUUUUUCCUUUAGGGUUGGUGAGGGUCACCGAUAACUCUCGUCAACUGCAAAACCCUCACCCUCAGUUGCAAAGGCCCUGGGCAAGGUCAUCGAGGCCUCACUCGUAGCCGGCAAGGUCGCGAUGCCCUCGCAAGCUUUGGGUGGCGUCACCUAUAGUCAGUGAGUUUGUGACACCCUUGCCUAGGGCCUUUGCGGUGAGGGUGAAGUGGCCCUCUCCAAGAUCUGGUCGUGAGGGCCCUAGGCGAGGACAUCGUGAUCUCACUGAUCCUAGGUAAGGUGAUGUUGCUUGCGACUGCCUAGAGCUAGCAAGGGCCCUUGUGGCCUCGCCAGUAGCCAGCGAGGCCUCAAUGGCCUCGCGCAAGGACUUCAUGGCUGAGGGUGAGGGGUUCAUUGUUGGUGAGGGUCAUAGGUGACCCUCAUUGGCCCUAAAAAAAGGAAGCAAAAAUUAAAAAUUAAAAAUUAAAAAUAUUGAAAAUAUAAAAAAAUUGUCCACAUCAUACCAGUGAAGCCAUGUUAGACAACUUUUAUCGUCACGUUGGAUGGCUGGUGUCCAUGAGGCAAAUUGGAAUUAGUACUCAAGUGAUCAAUUUUUUCAAAUUUGUGACAUUUAAGUAAGUGAAAUGUUUUUGAUACUUAAUUGAACACUAUACGAAAGUUUUGGCAGUUCUGAUAUCUUUAUUCAGGUCGAAAAAUAGGUACUUGCUACAGUAAUGUUUUUUUUUUUUUUUUUGUGCCAGAGGAACCGCUUUGGCCGACAGCCGCCACGUAAACCCCCAGAUGACGCUAGCCCAUGACCCACCACCAGGACGUCACACGUAAUACACCUAAUGGUCUGCCAGCCUCCCUGCAACUUGCGUUGCAGGGGUUUUGAACACCUGACCUUUCCCUUCAAAGGCAGGAGCCUACCUAGCAGAGCCACCACGGCCGGUGGUUUGCUACAGUAAUGUUCAUACGCAGUAUCCCAGAAAACAUCAAGGUCAACAUCCACUAGAACCGGUCUUGGACCUUCUUAUCUCCUAAAAUUCUGCUCUCACUUUCUUCAACAGAAAACUGAAUGUUGAAUCUCCAUCACAAAUUUUUCCCUCCGCAUGUCCUUUCUUAGGUGUGUGGGCCCCGGUGAAUCUCGACCACUUGGCGACAUUCGAGACUCUGGCCAUGGACCUGGAGCUCAGGAAGAUGCUCAUCGACAAUCUCGAGAGGUUUAUGACAAGGAAGGAGCACCACAAGAGAGUCGGCAAGGUGUGGAAAAGAGGGUCUUAUUGUGCGGACUUCGGCACAGGGAAAUCAAGCCUGGUCGCGAGGAUGGCCAAUCACUUGAAACUCGACAUAUACCAUUAGAGCUGAGCGGACUCCGGAGCAAUGCGGACCUCAGGAGGCUGCUCAUCAACACUGGAAUCAGUCCAUAGUGGUGGUGAAGGACAUCGGUUGCACCAUGAUGUUGCAAGAUAGGAUGUUAGAAACCCAAGCGACACGCAUGGAUAUUACGUCAACGCGUCUUUUUUGCAAGAAAAUCAAGUACGAUCUUCUUUUUAUUUAGCAUAAGCUUUAGUUCAAUUGUUUCGUAGUGUGCAUAUUAUCUGUCUUUGACAUUUAACUUAAGUUUGUCAUUACAACUUUAACUUUUUACAUGGAAGAGGUGACAUUGUCGAGAUUCCUCAACUUCAUCGAUGGCUUUGGUCAAAUUGCGGCAAUGAGCGGAUCAUAGUCUUCAUGAUGAACCACAUGGAGAAAUUGAACUCAACCCUGUUGCGCCCAGUUUGCAUGAACCUGCACAUUCCUAUGCCUUAUUGCACCUUGUGCGGGUUCAAGCUUCUUAUUUUUAAUUAUCUUGGGAUCGAUAGCUGUGAGCUCUUCGACCAUAUUGAGAGUUUGUUCGAGACAACUAGAAUUGCUCUUGCCGAAGUAGUGGAGCAGUUGUUGAAGAGCGACGAACAAGAGGUCACUCUCAGGGACAUGGUUUCCUUCCUAGUUAAUCACAAUAGGGAAAAUAAUUAAGAAGUCAUUUAGGAGAAAGUAUGUCAGUGCCAAUUGGUCGAAAAAAUGGAUGGAGUGAAAAGGAAAGCAGAGGUUACGAACUAACUGAAAAAUAGAUAAGAGAUAAGGAUUGUGCCGUCCAUCGAUUUUAAUUAGAUUAUUAUAGAUUUUUUUUUUUUUGUAUAAAGAAAGAUGAUAUGUGUGACAACAUUGGAAAUUACAAUUUAACUUGGUUUACUUGCCUUAAUAUCUUUCUUUGAUUGUUAUCAACCUUGGCCAAUUGGACCUAAGUAGGUCUUUAAAAGGCUCAUGGAGGAAACAAGCGGAAAAACCGCCCUGGGGUGAGAGACCUCGCGCUGUCCUCCUAUUUUCUCUCUAUCGGGAAGACACAAAUAGAUAGAGAAUUAUGGAGCCUCAUGCUGGUGAAAGUAGACACCAUGCCAGGAUUUCAGUUCUGGCUACUACCAGAUAGGCAGGUAAAGUAGCUUCUGAUGCCUGGAGUGAGGGAGGGUAGGUUAAAUGCCUACAGUUGGGUUGACAUGCCUUAGGGCACUGUCCUUAACCAUAGGUUGACCCAGUUAUCCCGGUUGAGGACAACGCUAUUCCCCCGGCCGUGAGAUUGCAACUUGUUUUGAAGAUCCAAUAGAUCUUAAACAUAGGCAAUACUUGAGAGAAUCGCUGAUUUUUAUGUAGUAAUUUUUCAAUUCUAACAUGAAGUAAAAUUUACGAUAAGAUGCGUGGACAUUUCACCGAAAAAAGUAAUUAUUAUUUUUUUUGGUGGAAAUGUAAUUAAUUUACUCAGUAUCAACCAUGGAAUGCUAAUGUAUUGAAAUGAAAGUUCUUAAUUCAUCUAGCCUAAUUUAUUGAAUCUCUCUGAUGCAAUAGCUUCAUAAGAAAUUGAAUCAAGAGGAUUCGAUUCCUUUAUACCAAUGUGUCAGGGAGAAAGUAUUCUACAUUGUUCGUCUUUCCUCAAAAAAAUUAAGAGGUAUUCUAGGAUGAGAGUGUGUUUUGUAUCCUCAGCGUACACUUUGUCGACUUUCCUGUCACUGUCACUGCGGUAUCUUGUUCCCCCUGCAUCUCCCACAGGACCUCUUUCGUUUUCUUCCUCUGUUAUGCAACAACCGUUUCCAGUCCCCUUGGAUCCUAGCAGAGCAGCAUCUGACGGAGACAGCACAGAACUCAUAUGCCUUAAUCUGUCAUUGUCAAGAAGAAUAUGUCUUCUUCUCGUCCCAGGAUUUCCUCUGCUAGAAUGAACUGCUUCCCAUGAUACGGUUUCGCCUUCGAAAAGGAUGAACCUUCCAUGCAGGUAAUCAUUUUCAGAUCCAUUCAGCCAGUCUACAGUAGCAUUCUCCUCCAGGAAGUUGGCAGCAGUUCCAGGAGUUAAUCUCUUCUCGUGGUUGGCCUCACCGCAAUCUCUUCUCGUGGUUGGCCUCACCGCCAGCACAGUCUCAAAUCCUUUCCCAGUUCUUCUUCGGAUGGAAUCUACUGCUGUUCAAUCAGUACCUAGAAAAUCCUUUUUCUGGCCUCCCCAGCUCAAGGGACAAGUCAACCAGCGAUGAUAGCGAGGGCCAUCGAGAGAACUUACCACAUGCAGCGAUGCUUGACAUCAUGUUCAAUCUUUUAAGCUCAGCUUCUGAAGUUAAGAUAUGCUCCUUUCCACUGCUUUCUAAGUUAUAAUCCGUAGCGCUCAAUCCACUCUGGCGAUCAAGGUAUAUUAUCGUUCAUUAGUACUGUUGUAGCAUGUAGAAACGUGCCUUAAAACUCUUGCCUUGAUUCUGAUGCCAUCGUUAAUCCACAGCACAGAAAUCAGCAAAAACAUACAUGGAAGAUUCAAGAUGCCCACUAAUUUAUAUCCGAUGAGGUGAUUUUGUAAAUAGUUUUCUACAAGAAAAGCCAAUGACAGAAUGAAUUUUGCAUCAAGAUUUCUCCGGCUUUUGCACAUGCCUUCUAUUCACAUGCAUUAUCCAUUAGUUCAUCCAGAGAUAAUUCUAGGCCUACCAUCUAUAUGUGGAUGAAUUCUCCUGGCGCAUGCCUAAUCUCACGUGCAAAUGUAUGUACAGCGCAUCCCCAUUAGAACGCCCAUCAUUAUCAAUAUUGGCAAAGAGGGACCUGUAGCACCUCUAGAUUGUCAAACAGAACGAAAAGUUCACUGCAACCGUAUGACAUAAUCAGAAAAAGAUGACUAUGGAAGGGGAAGGAUGAAGGCAAAGACACAGAUGACUAUCAGCUGCACUCGGAUGCGCUGAACCAAUCACUAUGGUCCAGAGGAGAAGGCAGAAGCAGUCCCAGAAGAGUGAGAGAAACCAUCAUUCAUCAGUGGAGAAUGUAAUCUCCGCUCCCUCUGCAAAUUCUUGAUUAACUGAAUCUAACAGAUUCACAGCCAUCUGUACCUGGAGACACCUCUUCCGGAGAGACUAUUUCACCUGGACAAUGAACCAGUCAUACCCUUAUCAACAGGCUGAAUCUUGACGUACAUAAUAGGUUGAGCCAUAUUCUUAAAGUUCCUAUUGCAAUUCUUUCAAUAACACAAGAAAAAAAAAUCACAGAUUUAAGGAAGAAGAUGAAAUUGGUUGUUGUACAGUAGAGAUAAUUAAGGAAUGUCGUGCAUUUUUUAGUGGAGAGUGGGGUAGGUAACUUCUUGCUUUCUACAAUUUUAUCUAUUUUCUUUAGCCAAAUUUCACUUCUUCUUUUUUUCCUCUCUUUAACACUUAAUUGCAUUAUAAUAUUAAAAGAACGUGAAGACGAGGGAAAACUGAGAAACUUACGGUAAGAUAAACUGAUGUUUUAGCCCGUAUUUAUUGAUAUUCAUACCCUUUUCUUCAUGGCACUAUCGUUACGGGGGAGAAUUAUGAAAAAAGUCAUAAAUCUAUUAUAAUCAUGCCAAUUCAGUCAUAAUUUUUUUGGGGUCAAUUUGGUCCUAAACCUUUUUACAAUUGUGCCAAUUAAGUUCAUUUGGCCAAAAUUGGCCGACCGACACUGACGUGGAUACCGGCCGAUGGACGCUGAUGUGGCAAUUUUUUGAUAUAUAUAUUUUUUUAAAUUUUGAAUUUUUUUUUGCUUUUUUUCCCCUUCAUCUCCUUCCUUUGGCCGGUCAACAUCGGCUAGAGGCGAGGGCUGGUGAGGUUUGGUGAGGUAGUUGACCUCGCUAGUGGCCGGCAAGGCGGCCGUCGCCAAAUUUAGCGAGGCUCGACCUUGCCAUGGUUGGGUGAGGCCGAGCCUUACCAGUCUUGCCCCUUCUUAUCUACUAUUAUUCUGCUCUCAAUUUCUUCAUCAGAAAACUGAAUUUUGUAUCUGCAUCACAUAUUUUUUUUCCUCUACAGGUCCUCUCUCAGAUGCGUGGGCCUCUGUGAACCUCGACCACCCGGCGACAUUCGGGACACUGGCCAUGGACCUAGAGCUCAAGAAGACAAUCAUGGACGAUCUCGAGAGGUUCGUGAGGAGGAAAGAGUACAAUAGGAGAGUAGGCAAGGCGUGGAAGAGAGGGUACUUAUUGUACGGACCCCCGGCACAGGGAAAUCGAGCCUGAUUGCGGCGAUGGCCAAUUACUUGAACUUCGACAUAUACGACCUAGAGCUGAGCGGGCUCCGGAGAAAUGCGGAGCUCAGGAAACUGCUUGUUGCCACCGCGAAUCACUCCAUAUUGGUGGUCGAGGACAUCGAUUGCACCAUUGAGUUGCAAGAUAGGAAGUCCGAAACCCGAGCCGCGCGCAUGAAUAUGAUGUCCACCGAUUAUCCACGAGAAGAUGUACAAUUUUAUUUUAUUUUUUUCUUUUUGGCUUUCAUUUUUGGUACAAGGUUUACUUCGGUUUGUUGCAUGCUAUGCUUAUGAUUUGUUCUUAAUAUUUAUCUUGUUUGUCACUUCGAUAUUAAUUUUUGUAUCAUGGAACAGUUGACGUUGUCUGGAUUCCUCAACUUCAUCGAUGGGCUUUGGUCGAGCUGUGGCGAUGAGCAGAUCAUAAUCUUCACUACCAACCACAAGGAGAAACUGGACUCAGCCCUAUUGCGCCCAGGGCGCAUGGACGUGCACGUUCACACGUCCUAUUGCACCCCCUGUGGAUUCAGGCUUCUUGCUUCUAAUUAUCUCGGGAUUGAUCACCACGAGCUCUUCGAUCAAAUCAAGAGUUCGAUCACCGGGAUUGAUCACCACGAGCUCUUCGAUCAAAUCGAGAGUUCGAUCACGGCAGCGAGAGUCACUCCAGCCGAAGUAGCAGAGUAGUUGAUGAAGAGUGAUGAACCAGAGCUCGCUCUCAAGGACUUGGUUUCCUUCCUCGCUGAUCACAAGAGGAAAGAAACUGAAGAAGUCAUAAAGGAGAAAGUUUGCCAGUGCCAAUUGGUUGAAGAAAAUGGAGGAACUGAAGAGGAAAGCGAUAAGUGCAAAAUAAUUGAAGAAUAACCAAUAAAUUUCGACUAUGUUGGUAUGUUUUGAUCGAUUUUAAUUUAGAUCAUCAUAAAGAAAGUGAUCAUUGAAUAUAAAGUAAUUGUAUGAAGUCACUGCAUGGUCAUUCAAAUUAUUAAUUAUGUGAGUCAAAUGGUAAAAUUAGAUGGUCAAUGGUUUAGACGAACUCGAUUUACAUGGCUUGUCAACCAUGCGAUCUUUUCAUGAUCGAAUAUUCAAAUCAUGCUAAUAUUAUAAUUUGCUUUAUAUAGUUAUAUCACGUCAAGGACACAUAAUGUGGCAUACUAGUUUUCUCAUGGUUUGGACCUUCCACGGAAUCUCGAAUAUGCUUGGGUUGGCUGAAAGCAUUAUUUGUCUGAGCUUGGAUUCUAAUUCAAUUGGACUCAACCUAAUUCUCGAUGGGUUCCUAGUCAUCCGUUGCAAGAGUCAUCUCAUGGGUACAUGCUUCUUUUCCUAGGAACAUGACAAGUUUCGCAAAAGCAGAACGAGCUAGGAAAGGUUCCCUACUAGCAUCGGUCGUAUUCGCAUCGUGCAGUGGGAUUUAAGGAGAGAGCUUUAAGUAGAUCAUCCUAAAACGGAGCUAACUUACUUCGAGAUGCGACCAUUGAAUAAGAUAAAUGCACGGGAUCGGUCGAUCUGAUUUGAAUAUUUGCCGCCACUCCGCAAAAGGAAAAGGCCAAGACCGGCGCCCCGUCGGGGCAAGAACGAAAGCCUACCAAGGCUUGGACUAGGAACACUCCAGGCCUCUGAACCAGCUCAGUCAACAAGGAAUCCAUGCAUUUGUAGAGAGUUCAUUGUUGAUCUCCCAUUCACAUCCCAAAAAAUUCUACAAUAACGGGUCGAUCUCCAAUUCUCUUAUUCAUCGCCACUUUCAUCUCCUGAUUUCCUCCGGUCAUAUACCGUCUAUCCCCCAUAGAUUGAACUGAAAAGAGCGGCGACCCCUGCUCCAAACGACUCCAACAUCGCGGUGGCCAAGGCUGUGCUGUCUGCCGCGGCCUCCGUGAUGGUGGUGCAGUCGGUGGUUCGACCUUCGUCUCUCCCGAGUUCCAGGGCUCCUCUUCUCCAAGAUCCAUGGCUUCUUGUCUCUCUUCUGCAUCGAAAUGACCAUGGUCAUCGAACAGUACGAUGGGUACAGACAAAACGACCUCUUCGGGACGGUCCAGAUUCUCCUGGCCCCCAGGCAAUCCCUUUUGAUGCAGCGCGUGCGACUGACCAAGUCCCCGAAGGAGAACCACUUCACUUUGGCUAUGGACCGUAAUCAAAUGCUGGUGGAUACGUUUCACGGGGUCAAACUCAAGUGGGUUUUCGUGUCGAGACAGGUCGACUUGGGCUACCAAGUCCAUCAAGGCUCCACGGUUCAGCACGAAGUUUAGUACUUCGAGCCUAGUUUUCACAAGAAACAGAGGGAGAUCGUGGUCAAAUCCUAUGUGCCUUUGCUCAUCGACAAGGCCAAGUCCAUAAAGCAGGGGAAGAAGACGCUGAAGCUAUGCACUCCGGGCUCCAACGGCAAUUAUCUUUAACUAUAUUCAAUUCUACUAUUAGAAUUUAGGAGUGAAAAGCUGUGAUGCUAAAUUCACAAAAACUUCGUUCAAUCGGACUAAGUCGGAAGUAUCAUAUAAAGUCCAGCCAAAAAUAAGUACUUGCUACAUAAAAGUUAAUCAGUAAAAUCCUAAAGAACAUUAAGAUCAAAAUUCACUCGAACCAGCUUGCACCUUCUUCUCUAUGAUUAUGCGCUCAAUUUCUUCAGCAGGAGACUGAAUUUUGUGUCUCCAUCACAAUUUGUUUCCUCUACAGGCCCUUUCCCAGGCACGUGGUCCCCGGUGAACCUUGACCACCCGGCGACAUUCCAAACACUGGCCAUGGACCUAGAGCUCAAGAAGAAGAUCAUCGGCGAUCUCGACAGGUUUGUAAGGAGGAAGGAGUACUACAGGAGAGUUGGCAAGGCGUGGAAAAGAGGGUACUUAUUUUAUGGACCCCCUGGAAUGGGGAAACCGAGCCUGGCGCCGCAAUGGCUAAUUACUUGAACUUCGACAUAUACGGCCUAGAACUGAGAGGGCUCCAUAGCAAUGCGGAGCUUAGGAGGCUACUCGUUGCCACCAUGAAUCAGUCCAUAUUGGUGGUUGAGGACAUCGAUUGCACCAUUCAAUUGCGAGAUAGGAAGUUGGAAACAUGAGCCGCCAGCAAGAAUCCGACAUCGACAGGUUAUCAGCGAAAAGAUCGAGUACUACUUUUUCUUUUUGCUUUCUUUUUGAGUAAAAGGUCUAGUUCAUUUGUUGCAUACUAUGAAUAUGAUAUGUCCUCAACAUUUAACUCAUGUUUGUCACUACAUUAAUUUUUUUCUCAUGGAACAGGUGACAUCAUCUAGAUUCCUCAACUUCAUCGAUGGGCUUUAGUCGAGUUGUGGCGAUGAGUGGAUCAUAGUUUUCAUGACGAGCCAUAUUGAGAAAUUAGACCCAGCCCCGUUGCGCCCAGGGUGCAUGGAUUUGCAUGUUCCCAUGUACUAUUGCACUGCUUGUGGGUUUAGGAUUUUUGCUUCUAAUUAUUUUGAGAUUGAUCACCACGAGCUCUUUGGCCAGAUCAAGAGUGCAAUCACAAUGGCUAGAGUCACUCCAGCCGAAGUAAUAGAGCAGUUGAUGAAGAGCGACUUGGGAACAUGGUAUACUUCCUUGCUAAUCACAAGAGGAAAGAAAAUGAAGAGGUCAAUGAGGAGAAAGUUUUUCGGUCCCAAUUGGUUGAAGAGAGUGGAGGGGUGAAGAAGAAAGUGGUGAGUGCGAACUAAUUAAAGAAUAAACUUUAAACACCGACUAUGUCGGUACAUUCCAUCGAUUUUAACUUAGAGUAUUAUAAAAAUCUCGAUUAUUAUGGAUUUAAUCACAAAAGUGACGGAUGGAAAGCUACUAUAUCCUUAUCCAAAUUAUUAAUAAUUUGAGUCAAAUGAUAAAAUCACGUGAUCAAAUAGAUUAAAUGAACUCGAUUUAUAUGAUCGAUGAGCUAUGUGAUAUAUUUAAAUUAUUGAUAUUCAAGUCAUGCCGACCGUAAAAUUUGCUUCUUGUAGUUACCGCGGCAAGGACACAUAGUUAGACAUUAAUGACAGUCUCAUCUUUUGGGCCUUCCAUGAAAUAUUGAAUUUGCUUGGGUCGGCUGAAAACAUUCAUUACCUAUCCGAUUUUUAGACCAACCAUUGGGGUCAAGGUCAUCUCAGUCUUUUUUUUUUCUUCCCUAUGGGCAAGAUAGAAAAUUUAUUUUUUCUCCUUUUCUGUUAAUAUUAAAGAAGGUUUGGAUUAUUGGAGCAUUCGACUAAUUGUUGUUUGAUAUGAUAAUCAUCCAUGCAGGGGAUUAGCAAAAACAGACGAGGGACAAAAGGUAUAGUGCAGGGCAAGUUAAGGAGAGAGAUGGGAAAAAUAUACCGAAAGUUUUAAAACUUAUUACGAAAGUAUAAUUGAAUCUUGAAACUUUUAAAAAAUGUAAUUAAAUCAUAAAAUUUGUAGAAUUAGUGCGAUUGAAUCAUUCCACUACGGAAAAUGCUGACUUCCCUCUUACAUGGUGAUAACAUAGUUAAAAUGACGUUAUUUUGAUUCAGAUUUGAUUUAAAUACAAAUUAUAUUUAAAUUAAAUUAAAAAUUAAGAAAAUUUUGAAAAAUAAGAGAAGAAAGGGCGGGUGAUUGUUUGCAACCCUUGGGGCUGGUGCCCUUGCCGACCGUUCCCCAUCCUGGUGAUUUAGGGUGGCAGCGACGAAAAGGGUUGCAAACCCCUCUUCCUCCGUUGUUUUUUCCCCAAAGUUUUCUUAUUUUUAAUAUAAUUAAAAUAAAAUUAAUAUUAAAAAAUGAAUUUGGACUAAUAUGACAGUUGUUUUAGUCAUGAUGGUACCACGUAGGAAAAAGAAAAUAACAAAAAAAAAACCACGCCAUCGUUUUCAUUGCUCAAGUUAAACAUAAUUAAUAUAAUAACUUGAUUGUAUUAAUUUGAUAAAUUUUAUGACUUAAUAACACUUUUUAAAAGUUUUAAAAUUUAAUUACAUUUUUUGAUAAGUUUUAAGAUUUUUAUUGUACCUACUGAUAAAUCAUUCUAAAUAUAACUGGUUUAUUAAACAUGUGAUCUUAAAAUAGUCCACGCGAUCAAUAAACGAGUUUAUGCUAUCUAAUCAAACUAAAUCGAAGGGGAACGAACGUGGUUUUGCCUUACCUCGAGACGCAAUCAUUGAAUCAGAUAAUUGGUUGGGAUUUGGUCGAUCUGAUCGGUAACGGCAAAAGCAAAGGGUACGAAGACCUGGACUAAGAACAGUGCACGAAUCAGCUCGGUCGAGAAGGUAACAGAAAAAGCAUUGGGGUGGUUUUGUCCCUUCGUGCUUUCCAGCUGGUACUUCCGGUGGGAUGUCGCCAGCUCUCCCUUUUAAAUCCAGGACCGACUCUGGUUGACGGUAACAUAAUCAUCUCCGAUUCUCCAAUUCUCACAUCCCAUCUUAAUACCAAACAGAGUAAACUGAAAACAAUGGCGACCACCCCAGCUCCGAACGAGUUCAGGAACCCCAUUGCGGUGGCCAAGGCAGUGCUGUCUGCUGCGACCUCCGUGACGGCCACCGUGAUGGUGGUGCGGUCGGUGGUUCGACCCUUCAUCCCCCGCGAAUUCCAGGACUUCCUCUUUGACUUCCUCUUUUCCAGGAUCCGCGGCUUCUCGUCUCGCUUCUGCAACGAGAUGACCAUGGUCAUCGAACGGCACGAUGGGUACGCCCAAAACGAGCUCUAUGGGGGCGGCCCGGGUUUUCCUGGCCGCCAAGCAAUCCGGUUCCGUACGGCGCGUGCGAGUGACCAAGUCCACGAAGGAGACCCACUCCACUGCGGCUAUUAUUGACCAGAAUCAAAUGCUCGUGGACACGUUUCAGGGGGUCAAAUUGAAGUGGGUUUUGGUGUCAAGACAAGUCGGCUCGGUUGGCAACCGAGUUCAUCAAGGCCCAAACUCAACGGUUCAACACGGAGAUCAGUACUUUGAGCUCACUUUUGACAAGAAACAUAUGGAGAUCGUGGACAAAUCCUAUCUGCCUUUCGUCAUGAACCAGGCCAAGUCCAUAAAGCAGGAGAAGAAGACGUUGAAACUUUACACUGCAAGCUCUAACGGUAAUUUUUUGUAGAACAUUUUGUUGGAAUCAUCGGUUAUCUUUAAAUAUGUUCAAUUCUACCAUUAGAAGUGGAAAGGGAGUGAUAUUAAGGUUCCCUAACUUCCACGAAAAUGUUUUCGUGAUUUCCGACUCUCGGUGAAAAAUAAACUUUUAAGGAGAACGUUUUUUGCUAUUGUAAAAAAAAUAAUUCAAAAGUGGGUAAAAAGUUUUCUACUUUCCUGUAACUUUUUUCACCGUACUUUCUUUCACCAAACACAUUUUCCUUUUAUUUUUAUGCUUUCUUUUUUUUUUCUUUUAAAAAAUUGAAUCUUUAAUAUUUUUUCAUUUUUUUUCUUCCUCCACAUUAGUCAUUGGCCACAAGCCAGCUUGAGUCUUGUCACAAGCCGUUAAGGCCAGUGAUGCCUUGAGCCCUUGAGCCCGACUUGCCUCAGGCAAGCUCGAGUGCACUUGGAUCAGCCUAGCUUUGGCUCGCUGACUCGCGUCUUGGUCGACUGUUGGGGAGCCAACCAUUGCUGAGGCACGCACCAGUGGAGGAAGGAAAAGAAAAAUAAAGAAAAAAAAACAAAAAAAUUUGAUUUUAAAAAAUAAAAAAUAAAUAAAAAUUCAAUUUUUAAAAAUAUAUAAAAACGAAAAUUAAUUGUUUUGGUCAAUUAAAAAAUAAAAAUUUAUUUUUUUGGUAAUUUCUCCUAGAAAAUCAAAUCAGAUAUUGAAUGAUGAAAAAUAUUUUUCACUUCAUUUUUAGAUUUCCGUUGAACAUCGGAAUUUUCACCUCAUUUUUAAAUUUCUGUUGAACAUCGGAAAAUAUCGUUAUUUUCUUGUAAAAUGCUUAUUAAAAAAUAUUUUUCGAAAAUGUGAUAUUUUUAAGCGGAGUCUAAAUUCAUAAAAAACUUUUCAGCUCAAUCAGACUAGUUAGAAGUCCAGCCCAAAAUAACUACUUGCUACAGAAAAGUUCAUAAGUAAAAUCCUAAAGUAACAUUAAGGUAAAAUUAACUAGAACAAGUCCUGCACCUUCUUAUAUAUGAUUCUGCCCUCAAUUUCUUCAACAGAAAAUUGAAUUUUGUAUCUCCAUCUUUGUUUCCUCUUUAGGUUCAUUAUCGGGCCCAUGGUCCUCGGUGAACCUCGACCACCCGGCGACGUUCCAGACAUUGGCCAUGGACCCAGAGCUCAAGAAGAAGAUCCUCGACGACCUCGACAGGUUCGUGAGGAGGAAGGAGUACUACAGGAGAGUCGGCAAGGUGUGGAAAAGAGGGUACCUAUUGUACGGACCCCCUGGAACAGGAAAAUCGAGCUUGGUCGCCGCGAUGGCCAAUUACUUGAACUUCGACGUAUACGACCUAGAACUGAGUGGGCUUCGGAGCAAUGCGAACCUCAGGAGAUUGCUCGUCGCCACCACGAAUCAGUCCAUAUUGGUGGUCGAGGACAUCGAUUGCACCAUUCAGUUGCAAGAUAGGAAUCCAGGAACACGAGCCGCCAGCAUGAAUCCGAUGUUGAUGUGUUAUCAACAACAAGAUCAAGUACAAUUUCUUCUUUUUUGCUUUCUUUUUUAAUAUGAGGUCUAGUUCAAUUGCUGCGUACUAUGAAUAUGAUUUGUCCUUGUUUAAUUCAUGUUUGUACCUACAACAAUAUUUUUUUUUUCUUAAUGAAAUAGGUGACGUUGUCUGGAUUUCUCAACUUCACUGAUGGGCUUUGGUCAAGCUGCGGCAAUGAGCGAAUCAUAGUCUUCACGACAAACCAUGUUGAGAAACUAGACCCGGCCAUAUUGCGCCCAGGGUGCAUGGAUUUGCAUAUUCCCAUGUCCUAUUGCACCCCUUGUGGGUUCAGGCUUCUAGCUUAUAAUUAUCUCGGGAUCGAUCAUCAUGAGCUUUUCAACCAAAUUGAGAGCGCGAUCACGAUGGCUAGAGUCACUCCGGCUGAAGUAGCGGAGGAGUUGAUGAAGUGUGAUGAAUCAGAGAUCGUCCUCAGGAACAUGGUUUCCUUCCUCACUAAUCACAAGAGGAAAGAAAAUGAAGAAGUCAUCUAGGAGAACGUUUGUCGCUCUCAAUUGAUCGUAGAAAUUGGAGGGAGUGAAGAAGAAAGCAGCAAGGGCAAGCUAAUUGAAAAAUAAAUAAUACAUGUCGACUGCAAUUGUAUGUUUCCAUAGAUGUUAUUUAGAUUAUUAUAGAGUUCUUUGUAUUAAGCAUGAUGAUGUAUGACAACUAGCCCCGUCAUACUGACGGGUCGGGAUAGGUCAGGUCGGGUAAAAAAUAGUCGGGCCUUAAAAUGCAAAUUUGGCAACCCAUGUUUGACAUGAUUCAAGAUCUACUUUUAGCAAUUUUUUCUUUUAAAAUUUGUGGUCUUUGAAGAAUAGGCGGCUCCAUGGAUUGACUCGUCAAGUUGGUGAGGGAGCCUGGGGUUCGGUUAUAGACAGAAGCGUUAAAGUGGUGGUGAAAAUCCAGUCUGGGCCAUCCAUAAAUUGAUCGGUCUCUAAACUCAUUUUCACUUAUUUGUAGAAUUUUAAAUGACCCGUAUGCAACCUGGCCCAUAGAAAGUAAAUUGAAAAAUGAGUUCACACCCUUAUGUCUUGCUCCAAUGCAACUCGUCUUUAUGGGCAUAUUAAAGUCCCGCACCCGGCAGCUGACCAGAAAGAUUUUCACUAAGUCAUGAAGAAGGAAUUACAUAUCUCAACAGCUGAUGAUCGGCUUAAACUUUUAUCUUUAUCGUGCUCACGACAAGUGUAAGCUAAUCGGAAUAAACCCUUUACAUACUACCUGUGAUUCAACUGGCCGAACUAUUAUACUAGUCACCGUUGGUUGCUGAAGAUUCCUACGCAACUAAUAGGAAAAUCAGAAGGGGAAAUUCACAUGGACAUCUCAUCAAGCAUGUGGGCGACGACAUGCAUAUUUCCAAUGGAGAAGAACCCAUAUACUCAUUCGGCAGAGUCAUUUCGUCGCAAUGAUAGAAGACCAAGCAGCAAAAAUCGACUUUCCGAAUUGAACUAAUUACUCGAGCAACUUUUAGAAGAAAGACAUAAAAGAGCCAUAUGAUUGCUUUACACAAAACGUGAUUUUAAUGUAAAUUAUGGGUUGGAAUAUGAGUAUGACCCAGAUAAAAACAUUGAAAUAAAUAUAGCAAAAUUGGUUUUCGACAAGUCUCUGUCUUUAAACCCUGCCAAAAUAAAAGAAAAAAUAAUGACUAGUGCUAAACACACUCAAGUUAAAUCGUUCAACAUUAAUAAAUUGACUUCCUUUUGAAAGAUGGCCUAAUUAAAUUAACCGAAGACCGUGUAAUUCCAAAUAAAGAUUUAGUAAACACAAAAAUAUUGCAAGUGGCACCAUUUAUGGAGCCAUAACACUGUUAAUUGUGUUGUUUUCAAGAGUUCAAUUUAGUAGGAAAAAGUCAAAUUUGCCGAAUGAUUGGUGACCUUUAAUAAUUUAAUUGAAAAAAUCUGAUGGUCGAUGAAUUAUUCAAUUCUUAAAAAAGGGCAUAUGUCGACAUAAAAAAAAUGAUCACACUUUUGGUUAUUAUUGACAAAUGGCAAACUUGGUUGAUGGAGACACUUUAAUAAAAAAAAAUUAACAAACUUGAAGAAUAGGUAACUUGUGGAGUCAUUGAUCACACACAACAUGAAAGUUAUCGAUUAGAGCUUUCAUCAAGACUUGAGAAAUGGAUUGACAAAGUCAUAAGCAAUGAGCAAUCAACAUAAGAAUAUAACUGUUCGCUGAUUAUAUCUAUUGCCACUAACUUAGGAGUUUUGUUUCUUGCAUAUAAGCGUUGCCUGUAGAUAAGCGUUGCAUAGAGUAACUUCUUUAAUAUAAUUAAAAAGUUUUCUUUAUUUGAAUUUAAAAAGUGUUGUUUUAAACCGUCGAUGAUGAGCUACAAAAAUAUCCACGUUGUACUCUUGUAAGGAAUCCUUAUUAAUCAAUCAACGCAUUUGAGUCCUUUUGUAAAUUUAUUUUAAUCUUAUAUAAUCGGUUGCAAUUGCCUCCAAUUUCCAUACCUCUGGAUCAAAGAUGAGAUUUAUAUCUAACGUAAUCAUUUAGGGGUUGCCUAUGACACGACAGGCUCUUGCAAAAGCAGAGGGAAGGGUCCGUAGCUAAUGCUGCUCGUAUUCACAUCGGUGCAGCUUAAGUCAAGAAGGAAUCGUCAAAUAAAAUAUUUAAGAUGUAUUCAUAAUUUUUCUUGUCAAUAUAAAUUCAACUUUAAAUAAUCUAGCUAGUCGGUAAACAAGUUUAUACUACCUAAUUAAAUUAAAACUGAAAUGGAAUGUGGUGUGAAAUUAUCUUAGGAUCGAUCGCCAUGAGCUCUUCAACUAGAUCGAGAGUUCAAUCAUGGUGGCGAGAGUUACUCUGGCCAAAGUUAUGACAUCCCAGAUUUUCAGUCAUGUUUUCAACUGAAUAAAUCGGGCAUUUCAUUGACGCGCCUAUAGGACUAUUAUCAGAGCUGAUCACUCUUGAGAUAAAUAGAUUAUUUGGAGAAACCAUUAAAGAAUUUUAAUGCAAUAGAUUUGAGAAUUCGAACAGGGAUCGGUUACUUGACCGUGCUUAUCUGCCGAGAUCAUUACGGCAUAGAUAUAAAUCGAUUAGAGAUAAGAGAUAGGUAUGUUCGACUGAGAUAUGUGGCUAAUUGUGAGUGAUACCACUAAAUUGGAAAAUUCUUGUCGACUGGCUCUAGACUGAUUCUUUUGUCGUUUUGGUACCACGUGUCUGUAAUUGAAUCCUCGAGAUUUUCACGAUAACUAAGAGUCACCAUUGAUUCAAGUGGGUUCAUUGUGGCUCAGAAAAAAUCGAUCACGGGUCAUUUGCACUAAAAAUUUCUGAAAACUACUUGGUAGCCUAGGUCACGCUAAAAAAGCGCCAAAUGGAAAUUAACCGCGAAUUCAAGUCCGAUUUCAGAAAUGGAAGAUCCUAUCAUGUUACAAUAAAUUUUAAGAAUGUAAACUCAGCCUCAGAAGAUUUUUUUGACAACCAAGACUUUUUGAGAAAAAGUCGGCAUAUGAUCGUUUUUGUUCAAUUAAGGCUAGAGAUUAUUUUUGGUCACAAAAUUGAGAUACAAUAUAGAUUCUUCGGUUAAGAAAAUUAUCAAUUUGAUAAUUGGGGUACCAAUUGAAUUUGUAAAGGCCAUAUGGGAUUGAAUGGAAGAGGAAAUCAAGACCAAUUGAAGCCAUUUCCUUCAAAAUUCGUAGCUCCCCCAUGCCCUAGCUAAAUUGGACCAUCUCAAGGGUUGUGAGGAGAGUGUGUGUGGUUAAAUGAGAGCCAAGGAAGGGUGGGUGGUGUAGGAUGAAUCUUGGGGGAUAAGUUGUAGAAAAAUUGGCCAUGGUGGCCCCAACCUUAUCCCUUCUCUCUUAUCCUCUCACUCUCUCUCUCCUUGGCCAGCCAAACCCUCACCAUUUCCUCUCCAUUUUCAAAAACCCUUAAGCCAGCAAAAAGACAGCGGAAGGAGCAGCCGCCGAACACCUGGACGCCAUCGCCACCGCACGCCGUCACUGUUUCCAUGAGCCACCGCCCGCGUGAGCCACCGUAUGUGCCCGACCAUCCUUGCCCGCCUCCCUCACGCCUCUCAGCUGCUGUUUUGGAUCUGUUGCAGCUCACCCGAAGCUGUCCUGGCCCCGUUCGACCUCCGUGAGUCAACAUUUAGGCCCGGUUUGGCCUAUUUCCUCAUUCCCGAUCAAUUCCCGCCUAAACGAAGCUAAUUUUCCCUCAUUUCCAGCCAAGAACAGCAAGAAAAGUUGUGGGUUUCCAGCCGCCUUUGGAGGCUAUUUUGAGGUGUUUUCGGGCCUUGAACCUUAGGCCCGCUUUGGAGAAAAACGUCCCCCAUGACGUUCCCAACGUUUCAAUCCGUGCUAAUUGUUAAACGAGUGAGUUUUGCUCACUAAUCCUUACUUAGUAAGGCUAAUGAUUCUUAGAGGUUGUUUAGAUUUGUCGCGACCAAAUUUUCGGGUUUGAAUCACUUAGGGUUUUGGCUAAUGGAUUGUUAAGCUUAGGCUUAACUCGGGCUCUCCCAAGCCUAUACCAAUUCGCGACUUAGGUUCAAGUUUUUUAACAUACAGAUAGAUUUUAUCUAGGAGUCGCCACUAAUCUAUUUUUGGUGGGUCGAUUAGAAACCCAAAUAAAGUACAGGAGUUUUACUUUACUCUUAUGAACCAGAGACCAAGGGUACGGGGAUUUGAUUACGCUAGAUUUCUCUAACGCCUUUUCGGUACCUUUCUUUUUAUUUUGAAAAAUGUUUGGCAAGCAGUUUGGAUUAAUUUUAAAUUUAUUUCCUUAACAUAUGAGGUGAUCAUGCAGGUGCACAAUCCACCAAUUUAACACCCAAAUAAAUAACAAAUAAAUUGCAAAAAAACUUACCUCCAAGCAACGCAAGCAUCUGCGUUGUUUGAUCAGAAUUCAUAUCAACGGUCCUAGGUAUGAUUUCUCAUUAACAGACAAUUUUCUUUUUUUGUUUUGUUUUCACUUAUUUAAUGAAAAUCAUGCAAUAUGCAAUGCAAUAUAACUAAAUAAUCUAAUUAUCAAGCAAUUUCUAAUUAAAUGGACCUAAUAACAAUCUCUAAAUGACGUGCAUUUCAUGAAUCUAAUCCUAUAUGACAUUUACAUGACAUUUUUCAUUUUUCCUAAAAAAUGCAAUUUAUCCUAAAGAAUGGAACUAAUUUAUUCUAAGACAUUUUUUGUAUUUUUCAUGAAAUUCGGAAUUAGGAAAAAUGUGAAAAUUAUCUAACUAGAUUAAGAUUCUAUUUAAUUUGCAUUAGAAAUUAAGUUAAGCCAAAUCCUAAUUUAAACUAAAAUAUUAUCUUAACCCAAAUAAUCCUAAAAUGCAAUCUAUCUAAUAUCUAAACUUAAAAUGAAACAUGAAAUUUUAUUCUAAUAUGCAAUGACGUGCAAAGAAUGCAUUAAUUCUACAUGACAUAUGCAUGAUCAUUUUUGCUUUUUUGAUCAAAAUUCGAAAUUAAGAUUGGCAAAUAAUUAACAUACAAUUUAAAUCAGUGAAAUGAAAAUCUAACAUCCUAAAUUUAUGUUUUUGGUAUUUUUAUUUAAGAAAUUCGAAAUAAAUAAAUUUCCUAUUCUAGACAUGCAAAAUAACCCUAAAACAAGUAAUAUCCUAAGAUGCAUCUAAUCUAACUCAAAUGUUUUUUUUUUCCUUUUAUGGGAGCAAACAAAUAAAGGACAACACGGCAACAAAUCCAGCAAAUUAUCAUCCAUGUUCAUUUAAUUUUGGAAAUAAAUUGACGAAUCGUAUCUCGCAUAUGAGAUCGGAUUGGCCAAUUUUAGACAAAAUCACGAAUCGUAUCUCGAGCGUAAGAUCGGAUUGGUGAUUUUUCCGUGCGAUUGCGAGUCGUAUUUUGAGCAUGAAAUUGGACCGUCAAUCAUGUGCACAUUGUGAAAUUAGGAAGAUUUCCUAAUUUAGAAGGCUAAUCGAGAUUUCACAUAUCUUAGCAUAUCGGAAAUUUCCAUCAUGGGCAUCAACGAAUAUAUCAAAUAAGGAAAUGGAAUUUUCGAAAAUCAAAAUAGAUAAGAUUUUUACCUAAUUCGAAUAUUGGCUUCCGAAUUCCAAUCCUCAAACGGCUACUCGUGACCCGAUGUGGUGGUUCUUAGCGGGGUUCACGGGAUGGCUACUCGCCAGGGGGCUUUGCGUGCGGCUCCUUGAUGAUUGCUCGAUUCAACGAUAUGCGCGUGAACCUCGAGAAGCAAUCUGCAAAACGAUAACUUUUGUUGUCACAGCAGUAGCAAAGCUUGCCGAGAGAUCUAGAGAACCACAAUGGGGAGAUGCUCCAAAUUUCAAUAAAAUAAGUGUGCGAAAUCGUCCAUCCUUUCAAUGUACACGUCCUCCUUUGCUGAAAGGACGUGUGCCCUUCUCUUGUGUGACCAUGCAUUAACUGGAAUUUUGCCAUGACUCCCUGAACUUGACCCCCGCCGCUUUGUUAAACGAAGGUGGUCUUGAACUCAGCCCAGAAUUUCUUGAAGCGUCGAUGACCGCUGGACUGAAAGAUCGUUGAAAUUGCUACGGCGUCUUGCUUGGAGGCUGCAAAGGUCGUCGAAGGCUGACGUGUCGUUGUAGCAGAGACAAAUAAAACUGCAGAGUUAUUGCUUAAAACUCACCCGGAAACCAAGACUGGAACUCGCGUUGAGGAUCUCCGUGAAGAUGCUAAAGUUGUUGAAGAAUUUGCGAGCGUAAUGUACCCAGUGUGUUUUCGGCUUCUCCCCUAGAAGUUUUCUUCCUGGUUAGUGGGUAGUCAAGAGAAAAUAAAUAAAUAAAAUAAAAACUCAAAUUAGAGGUAUGAAUCUGAAGCAAUUCAUGAGAUCAUGGCGGUGGCUCCUCGUGAUUGAAGGACAGUGGAUCGAACGGUGAUUCUCUGUCAUGGAAGGUCGGGGCUAGUAAACGGUGCAGGGCCUUCUUGGUUCGGAACAGAUCAGCAAGACAGGGAUGGCGUCAAGAAGGCAACGGCUGGACAACAGAUCAACGCGUGGUCUCGCGGCAGUAGCGACGGCGGCGAUCGGGUAAUAGUCAGAACAGCAACUACGAGGGUCAGAGCUUCAGUGACGUCAUCAAUGAAGGGGCUGCGGUGGCAUCGUCGAGCGAUCGAGUAAUAACUCAACAGGAUGGCAGCUCGUUGACAAUGUAUCGGGGACGACGAAAGCACCGCGGCAGAAGCAUCGACAUGGGUCUUGGUCAAGAAUUGGCCAAGAAAACUCACUCCCUCCUCUCUCACGUCUCUCAAUUGUGAAGCCCCACUCACAUUUUACUCUCAAUGGCCGUAUGUGUCAAUGUUUGGCCCCCUUGAAAACCCUACGAGUAUUAAUCUAUUUAUAGGCCACGGAUUAGGGUUUUUUUUUUUUUUCCAAAAUCAUAUCCACAAAAAUUUCUUUUCCAAAUGCAAUAUUUGCCUUUCCAAAUGCAAUAUUUGCUUUUGAAUUGAAAUCUCAUAAAAAUAAAUCCGUAAAAUCUCCCCAAUGAUACGGGCUUGGGCCAAUUUGUUCUCUUCGAGGGCUUAGCCCGACUUAUCAAAUUAAAGUUUCUGAAGCAUUAAUUCAAACCCAUCCGUCACCAGCCCAAAGUAAAUGCAAAUUAAAAAUAAAUGCACCUAAAACUAUAUGCUAUACAAUUAACUAUUUUUUCAGGGAUAAAAUUAACCCCUAAUUUUUUAAUGCAAUAAAUGAUUAAAUGGGUAGCCAAAAUUUAAGUGUCAACAAGAUUUAAUCAAGUGCAAUUAGGUGGAUAGAUUAGAUUAGAGUAAUUAAAUUAGAGACUUAUCAAUGCAUGUUAGGCAAAUGGUUAGCGUAUUUAUCAAGUAGACACAUUAUAUUAUUUAUUGAAAGAGUAUCGGUAAUUUUUUGGGCUUAUCCCUACUUCCAAUUAGGCUAUUUUGAACCUAAAUUGGAUUUAUUGCAAUUAUUUAAUAAUUUUCGUAAUUAUUUAAUUAUUUAAUUAUUUUCCAGAAAUUAGGCUGGGACAGUCGACGACCGGAAUUUUAUGCCGAUUGUUGUGGUGUAGUCUAUUUAUUUAUUUGAGCGUUGAUUUGUGCUGAAUUGAAUUAAUUAUGAUUUUAGGAUUUUAUUCAUAAAUUAAUUAAUUUUGGUAAUUAAUGGAAAAAUUACUGGGUGUCGGUUUACAGCACCAAAAAUAUGUAAUGGGCUGUUGAAACUGGUGGAAUGUUUAAAAAGGUGAAAUUAUGAUAUUUUGGUUAAGCCCGACCGUGUACCAACACACGACUAUUUUUAUUGGGAAUGAUAAAAAGAAGGAAUCAAUUGUAUGAUUAUAUCAACCUACGAGCUCUGAUAUGAUAGCUUAGCAGAGAGCAGUAUACCUUGUCAGUUUAGCAGAGAGCAAUGUCGAUAUACUAUAUCAGCCUACAGGUGAUAUGACAGCUUAAUAGAGAGCAGUAUACUUUAUCAGCUUAGAUUGCGCACGUUGGUAUACUAUAUCAACCUAAGGGCGAUAUGGCAAUUUAGCAGAGAGUAGUAUACCCAAUUAUCUCAAAAGCGAGCUAUACUAUCUAUUUAUCAGUUUGCAGUCCUGAUAUGAACGGACUUAUAGAUAGUAUGAGAUGAACCAACCAAGAAAGAGGUCGAGAUGACAUAUAAUCGAUUAGGUUGAUUGAUCAAUAAUUUGAUAUGAUGUUAUGAAUUGAUUGAGUGAUGUGAUAUAAGGCAUAUGUAAAUAACGUUAAUUUGCAGGAUGGAACUGAGGCCAAGAUAAGUCCUCUGACUCGUGUUGUGCUUAGGCAUCUUCUAAAGUGUAUUGGCAUCCUAAUCGGGUCUUGAGGUAAAACUUGCUGAGACGUAGUUGUUGUGCGGAAGAACACCCUAACUAGAUGAGAAAAGUAAACAAGAAUAAUUAAGAACACGGAGAUUUACGUGGUUCGGCGAAAGAUCCGCCUACGUCCACGGGAGAGAGAGAGAGACGAUUUCUUAUUUGAGCGUAUCACAAGAGUACAAGGUAUAAUGCUGAAAAUAAAUAGAUCUCCCUACUUUCCUAAACCUAGUAGGAAAAGAAUUCCACCAUAAAGAUAUUAACAAAUUUAAAACCCAAAUCUAGGAAAUAUAUUAGGAAACAAAUAGCUUGCAAUCUUCAAGUCUUCCUAGAUUUCCUGAUUGAAUUUUGUGGAAUUCAAGACAAUAUCAGCAAAUCUCCACCUUUGGCUUGAAUAAACCACAAGCUUCCACUUGAAACAAGACAACGAAUAUAUCUCUCCCUCCACCGUACCUUCACAAAGGUAUGCCCGCACCUGGAUCGGUGCGGUCUCCAUCAACUUCAAUGAUGAGUGAGAGAAAUCAAGUCCCUGCAGGACUUGAACUUCUCUAUAAUAACCGUCUUCGUGAGCAUAUCUGCGGGAUUAUCUUUAGUAUGGAUUUUCUUUAAAGCAAUGCUACCAUUCUCCACAAAUUCUCGAAUUUUGUGGUACCGAACUUCGAUGUGUUUCGUUCUAGAAUGGAACACUUGAUUAUUCGUGAGACACAUUGCACUUUGGCUAUCGCAAUAUAAUGUAGUACUUUCUUGCUUUAUACCCAACUCUGUGACCAAACCAGUCAGCCAUAUUCCCUCCUUCGCACCCUCAACUACUGCCAUAUACUCAGCUUUAGUUGUAGACAAUGCUACAACAGGUUGAAGCAUUGCCUUCCAUGAAAUAGCUCCACCACCAAGAGUAAAGACAUAUCCUGUGAUGGACCUUCGCUUGUCCAAACCACCAGCGAAGUCUGAAUCAACAUAACCUGCUAAAUUGAUCGAUCCUCCCUUGGAACUGCAUAUUAAACCCAUUCCAACAGUUCUAACCAAGUAACGAAAGAUCCACUUAACAGCUUCCUAAUGCUCCUUACCCGGAUUGCUCAUGUAUCGGCUGACGAGACUCACCGCAUGAGCCAAAUCCGGUCUGCUACAAACCAUAGCAUACAUGAUGCUCCCUACUGCGAUGGCAUAGGGUACUCGAGACAUCUUUACAACUUCCUCAUGUGAAACAGGGCAUUGUUUCUCAGAUAAUUUGAAGUGAUUUGCUAAGGGUGUACUAACCGGUUUAGCUUUACCCAUGUUGAACCGCUCCAAGACCUUCUCAACAUACUUUUUUUGAUUUACCCAAAACUUACUUGCAUGUCUAUCUCAAAAGAUUUCCAUGCCAAGGAUCCUCUUUGCAGCACCAAGAUCCUUCAUAUCAAACUCACUACUUAACCGAGACUUUAGGGAAAUAAUGUCUCUCAUUUUUCUUGUAGCAAUCAACAUGUCAUCAACAUAGAGCAUCAACAGAAUAAGCGACUUAUCAUCCAAAACUUUGUAGUCAAUACAAGAAUCAUGCACACUCCUCAUGUAGCCAAUACGAAGCAUAAAAGAAUCAAACCUUUUAUUCCAUUGCCUCGGAGAUUGCUUCAAACCAUAAAGUGAUCUCUUGAGCAAAUAAACAUGAUCCUCUUUUCCUUCCACCUUGAAGCCUUCGGGCUGCUCCAUAUAGAUUUUCUCCUCCAAGUCACCAUGAAGGAAUGCUGUCUUCACAUCUAACUGCUCAAGCUCCAAGUCAUACAUGGCUACCAUAGCUAGUAAAACACAAAUUGAUGUGUAUUUUAAAAAAUGGGAAAAUAUCUCGUCGUAAUCAAUCCCCUCCUUCUGUGCAUAACCCUUAGCAACAAGUCGGACCUUGUAUCUCUCUUGCUCUUUCUCCGUUGCUGCUUCCUUUCUUCAAAGAACUCAUUUGCAACCAAUGACAUUCCGAUCAUUGGGCUUCUUUACAAGUUCCCAUGUCUCUUUCUUUUGUAACGAUUCCAUCUCCUCCAUCAUUGCGGUCAUCCACUUUUCUUUGUGAUCACUUUUCAAAGCUUCAUGGUAGAAGCCUGGAUCGCCAGAGCCUACGGUAAGAGCAUAAGCAACCAUAUCCUCAAAAUCAUACCUCUCCGGUGCUUUGGGAGUGCGCCUUCCUCGACCCGUUGCAAUGGUACGAGGAACUUCUAUCGUUUCUUUGACUUCUAGAGCUUCAUCGGAUGACUCGCCAUUCUCUGCAGAUUCUUUGGUUUCAAGCUCCACCUUAACGAUAGAUUUAUCACUCCUCUUCAGCAGCUGCGUGUGGCACGAAGCUUGACUUCAACAUUGCAGAUUCAUCGAAUAUAACAUCCUUGCUCGUCAGAACUUUCUUCUAACUUGGAUCCCAUAAUUUGUAGCCUUUCACUCCUUUCUCGUAACCGAGAAAUAUGCAUUGUUUUGAUUUUGGAUCCAAUUUCGAGCGCUUCGAGCUCUGCACAUGUACAAAAGCAGGACAACCGAAUAUUCUUAAAUUAGAAUAAUCGACAAUUUUACUAGUCCAUACCUCUUUAGGAAUUUUGCAUUUAAUUGCAGUUGAUGGAGACUGAUUCACAAGAUAACAUGCCAUGUAGAUAGCUUAUGCCCAAAACUCCUUGCUCAGUCCUGCAUGUAGCCUCAUGCUUCGAGCUCUCUCUAAUAAGGUCCGGUUCAUCCUUUCCGCUACGCCAUUCUGUUGGGGCGUAUCUGGAACUGUGAAGUGACGUUUAAUCCCUUCAUUCUUGCAAAGCUCCAUGAAUGGUGUCAAUUUGUACUCUCCUCCAUUGUCUGAUCUCAAGCACUUAACCUUCUUCCCCAUUGAAGUCUCAACUUCAGCUUUCCAUUCUUUGAACUUUUCAAAGACUUCACUUUUGUGUCGCAUGAAGUAGACCCAAACUUUGUGAGAGAAAUCAUCAAUGAAUGUCACGAAAUAUUCCUUCCCUCCUUUUGACUUUACCGGUGAAGCACCCCAUACAUCCGUGUGUACAUACUCGAGCAUGCCCUUGCUUGUAUGAGUUGCAGCAUUGAACCGUACUCUGCAUUGUUUUCCAAACACACAAAAUUUGCAGAAAUCUAAUUUGCAUGUUUUUAUACCUUUGAGUGCAUUCCUCUUGUGAAGCUCCAUCAAUCCUCUUUCUCCCAUAUGCCCGAGAUGCAUAUGCCAUAGAUAGGUGUUAUCUAUCUCCAUGCUAGCAUCCGUGGACAUAGAUGCUCCACCUUGCACUGUGGUUCCUAUAAGUUGAUAUAGGUUCCCAUGCCUCUGUCCCUUAAGAACAACUAGAACUCCCUUAAUCACCUUCAAGACUCCACCUUGAGCCGUGUACUUGCAUCCAUUGGAUUCAAGUGCUCCCAAUGAGAUCAAAUUCUUCCUUAGACCCAGAACAUGACGUACAUCUGCCAAGGUUCUAAUCAUGCCAUCAAACAUCUUGAUUUUCACGGUUCCAACACCCACAGUCUUGCACGAAGUAUCAUUACCCAUGAGAACUAAACCACCAUCAUAUACCUUGUACUCAUCGAAGGCUUCUCGAUGAGGACACAUGUGAAAAGUGCAUCCAGAGUCCAUGAUCCACGAAUCUUCAAAGGUGUCCUUCCCCGACGAUAUGGACAAGACGUCCCCAUCAUUGGUCUCAAUGAUGUCGGCUAUACUUGCCUCAUCCGAGCUCUUCUUCUUUUUCUCGUUCUUAUUUGGACAGAAUCUCUUGGUAUGCCCUUCCUGAUUACACCCAUAGCAUCUUCCUUUGAACCUUCCCUUGGAUUUUGAUCAACCCCUACCGCUCGAUCCUCGAUCCGUUGAUCUUCCUCUUCCUUGAUUGUUUUUCUCCUUUGCAAAGAGUCCAUCUCCCGAAGAUUUUGAACUUCUUGCCCUUUUUCGAGUGUCGUUUGAAAUUAGGGCAGCAGUCACCUCUCCGAUCUCCAGGGUUUCCUUGCCAUAAAGGAGCGUAGUCACCAAGUGGUCAAACGAAUCCAACAACGAUGCCAGUAGUAGAAGCGCUAUGUCUUCAUCCUCAAAAUUUACCUCCAAGCUUGUAAGUUCACUAAUCAUCUUAUUGAACACGUUAAGGUGUUCCAACAGAUCUCCUCCUUCACUCAUCUGAAGUGAAUACAAUCUCUUCUUCAAGAACAACUUGUUCGUAAGAGAUUUUGUCAUAUAAAUGUUUUCGAGUUUGAGCCAUACCUCCGGAGCAGAUUCGAUUUCCACUACAUAUUGAAGGGCCUCAUCCGAUAGGUUCAAUCGGAUUGCGCUACACACCCUCUCCUCCAUGUCAGCCUAAUCAUCAUCAGCGAUGGUGUUCGGCUUGUUUGAUCUUCCUAGAAGAACCUUUGAUAAACCUUGUUGAAUCAACAGAUCCUUCAUCCUUCUCCGGCAUAGUGUAAAACUAUUCUUCCCAGUGAAUCGUUCAAAUAUCAAAUCGAAUGGUUGAACCUUUUCCAGCCAUCUAGUUAGAAGUCGCAAUACAAGAACAAAGAACUUGGAUUGCUCUGAUACCAAUUGUUGUGCAGAAGAACACCCUAACUAGAAGAAAAGUAAACAAGAAUAAUUAAGAACACGGAGAUUUACGUGGUUCGGCGAAAGAUCCGCCUACAUCCACGGGAGAGAGAGAGACGAUUUCUUAUUUGAGCGUAUCACAAGAGUACAAGGUAUAAUGCUGAAAAUAAAUAUAUCUCCCCACUUUCCUAAACCUAGUAGGAAAGGAAUUCUACCAUAAAGAUAUUAUCAAAUUUAAAACCCAAAUCUAGGAAAUAUAUUAGGAAACAAAUAGCUUGCAAUCUUCAAGUCUUCCUAGAUUUCCUGAUUGAAUUUUGUGGAAUUCAAGACAAUAUUAGUAGUAGUCUCAUCCUAGUUGUGGGACAACAUUUAAGGUCCUUAGAUGCAACAGACCUGGAUUUUGAAGAUCUCGAAACUCUGGUGUAGUCUGCUGAAGGCUCCAGUUAGAGUGUGGAGGAUAAUGAAGAGGAGGACGAGUACCCGUAGUUUGUGAAACCCCCACCCCUGCUUGUAGACCUUGAUUCUAAACUUGUUUAAGUUGAAUCCGGCGUAGUAGUACGCCAUAUAUACAUGUGCACUGGUUUGCAAUGUAUACAAGUGUGGUUGUUUUUGAAAGUUCGGAAUUUAGUCAUACUUUCUUAUCCCAUUGUUUUAUUGUCUGGGGAUCAUUUAUAUGUUUCCGCAUGCUUAUUAAAAAGAAAGGGUCGGCGAUGUGUCCUAGGAUGUCGCUAUUAAUCGACCAAGAUGAGGGAUGGGUGCAUGCCCAAGGAUCGGGGAGUGACAAAAGUAGUGGAGCAGUUGAGGUCACUCUCCGGGACAUGGUUUCCUUCCUUGUUAAUCACAAGAGGAAAGAAAAUGAAGAAGUCAUAAAGGAGAAAGUUUGCCGGUGCCAUUUGGUUGAAGAAAAUGGAGGGACUGAAGAGGAAAGCAGAAAGUGCGAAAUAAUUGAAGAAUAACCCAUAAAUAUCAACUGUGAUGGUAUUUUCCAAUUGAUUUUAAUUUAGAUUAUCAUAAAGAUAGUGAUUAUUGAGGAUGAAGUGAUUGUAUGAAGUUACUGCAUGAUCAUCCAAAUCAUUAACUAUGUGGGUCAAAUGGUAAAAUCAAAUGAUCAACGGUCUAGAUGAACUUGAUUUACAUGGGCUAUCGACCAUGCCACUUUUUCUCGUGAUCAAUAUUCAUACCAUGCCCGGCAACAUAAUUUGCUUUAUGUAGUUAUAUCACGUCAAGGACACAUAAUCUGACACUAAUGUUUUCUCAUGGUUUGCACCUUCCACAGAGUCUCGUGUUUGCUUGGGUUGGCUGAAAACAAUAUUUGUCCGGGCUUGGAUUCUUAAAGUCCUCCUCCAUUGCACCCACGCAAACCGAUUAAUCACUAUAGUCGCAUGGGUUCGUGCUCCUAGGAUGGCCAAAAGAAAAUGCGCACUUACGGCGAUUCGAAUCAUAUUGAUCAACGGUAAAGGAGAAAUGAGGUUGAUGUUCGUUUUCCUAGGAGCUCGGCAAGCUCUGCAAAAGCAAAACAAGCUUAGAAAAGGUUCCCAGUAGCAGACGGUCGCAUCUGCAUCGUGCGGCGGGAAUCAAGGAGAGAGUGUACGCAUUCUGAAAUGGGACUAAUUUACACCGAGAUGCGAUCGUCGAGUAAAACGAUUGCGGGGGUUGGUCGAACUGAUUUUUAAUAUUUGCCACUGCCCUCAAAAGAAAAGGGGAAAGGACGGGGCGUCGUCGGGGCAAGAAGCAAAAGUCUACAAAGACUUGGACUAGGAACAGUCCAGGAACCAGCUCAAAUACCACCUGUCCCCCAUAGAUUGACCUGAAGAGAAUGGAGACCCCAACUCAGAACGACUUCAAGAACACCGUCGCGGUGGCGAAGGCUGUGCUGUCUGCCACAGCCUCCAUGACGGCCACCGUGAUGGCGGUGCAGUCGGUGGUUCGAUCGCUUGUGCCUACGAAUUCCAAGAUUUUCUCUUCUCCGAGAUCCGCAGCUUCCUGUCUCACUUCUCCAACAAAAUGACCAUGGUCGUCGAAGACUACGACGGUUACACUCAAAAUGAGCUCUUUCAGGCGGCUCGAGUCUUCUUGGCUAGCAAACAAUCCUUGUUGGUGCGGCGAGUCAGAGUGACCAAGCCCAUGAAGGAGAACCAACUCACCCUUGCUAUGGACUGGAAUCAAGUGCUGGUAGAUGUUAAGAAUAGCAAGAACAAAAGCUCUACUGAUGCUAUUACUGAUAUCAGUAAGAACAGGGGCAGUAAGAACAGGGGGAGUAAUAUAUACAAGAGCAACGAAGAGAAAACAUAUGAAGAAGAGGAAAUAGAGAAUAUAAAUGCCGCUGAGAAGAAUGAGAAGAAAACUUGUUUCGAACACUCUGUAUAAUGCUGCAAGUCUUGGCAAGUCUCGUCAGUUAGUUUGGUGUACUUUAGUUUUGGAAGUUAGUUAGUUUUUUGCUUUUGUUAGUUAGUUAUCCUUUCUUCAACUGUUCAAUACCUGUAAAUCAGUUUCCAGAGAUAGCCAUUGUAUAUAAAAGGCUAACUCUCGUGAUUGAAAGAGAUACAAGAAAAUAAUAGAAAGAAGUUUUCCAUCUCAAUAUCUCUCUACUGUUCCUUCAUCCCAAGAUUUCCUAUUUCUUCUGUGCGCAUAAACUUCUUCAUGGUAUCAGAGCUGCUACAUCCUAAAGAAAUCAUCUUGAUGCUGCACAAAAUAGUUAAAUCUACAUUAGAUCGAAGUUAGAUUUGAAGCUUCAUUGAUCUCUGAAGAUAUCUGUAUCUUCCAACAAGAUCUGUGAGUUGGUACUUUUCAUCCACAUCUAAAUCUUCAUCAGCAAUAUACUUGUUGCAGCGUAUUGCAAACCAGUAGAAUUUGUGUCUGCAACUAGACUUGAUCAAAGAUCGGGAAGAAUAGAAUGGCAGCAAGAAGUUUGAGAUAUCCAUUUCCUAUUCAUGUUAAUAUCUCGAAUUUUGUUACCAUCAAAUUAGCUGAGGAUAAUUUCCUUCUGUGGCAAGCUCAAUUCUAUAAAUUCUUAAGGAGCCAAGAUUUGUUUGGUUUUGUGAAUGGGGAAAUUUCACCACCUGCAAAGACAUUGCAGGUUGAAGAAGGAGGUCAAACUUCUGAGGUUCCUAAUCCUGAUUAUAAUGACUGGAUAAAAACAGAUCAACUUGUAUCUUCUUGGAUUAGUGGUGCUGUAUCAGAAAAUAUACUCAGCUUGAUAUUGGCUUAAAUACUGCUUACGAAGUUUGGCAAACUCUGCUAAAUCGGUUCACACAAAAGUCAAUAGCUAAGGAGUUCGAGUUAAGAGGAAAACUGCAGGCUUGCCAGAAACGUGAACGGACAUUAUCAGCAUACCUCAAGGAGUACAAGUCAAUAUGUGAUCAAUUGAAUGCCAUAGGAAAACCAGUUGAUGAAAUCACAAAACUAUUUGGAAUUCUGGAAGGCCUGGGAUUUGAGUAUGAAAGUUUUAAAACUACAAUCUAUUGCUUAAAGCCCCAACCAGAAUAUAAUGAAGUAAUCUCACACUUAGAAAGAUUCAAAGCCAGGUUACAGAAUUAUUCUUUAAAUCAGUUUAGUCCUAACCUAGCUUACUAUGGCCAAAGGAAAACUGAAGCUAUACAUAAAGAAGAGGCUGACAGAGAAUAUAUACAACAGAAUACUAUUCUUAGAGGAUCAAGAACAAAUAAUCGUGGAGGAAGAGAUUAUGGAAGAGGAAGAACAUAUAAUGCCGGAUACAGGAACUUUGGUUAUCCUGGAAGAAACAUGAGUUAUAGAAAUAAUAACUCAAACUAUGAACAAGAAAAUCAGCAGUUCAAACAACUCAAUACCUCCUCUGGCUUGGGUCCUGUUCAAGGAUUUAGACCAUACAAUGUAUUAGCACAAAGGUAUUCUGAUACCAGGUCAUAUUCUGCAUCAAAUUCAACUCUUCACAAAAAGGUGCAGAUGGAGAAAGCAGCAUAACACACUCGACUUGAGUGUCAAAUCUGUAAGAGGCCGGGUCAUGAUGCCUUACAUUGUUGGUAUCGGUUUGAUAACUCCUAUCAAGCUGAGGAGAUACCAACAGCACUAGCAACACUACAUAUUGAGGAGGCAAAUGAUCAAGAAUGGUUUCCAGACAUUGGAGCAACAGCCCAUAUUACCUCUAAUGCUGGUAUACUUCAUAGUCUUUCUAAAAAUAACAAUGCUGAUACAGUCAUGAUAGGCAAUGGUAUGUGUUUACCUAUCAAAUACAUUGGUAAUGCAAUACUUAAUACUACAAUUGAUGCCUUGCCUCUAAAUGAUGUGCUGAUUGUCCCUGAGAUUAAGAAAAAUCUUCUAUCAGUGUCAAAGUUAAUUGAUGACUACCCAUGUUCCUUUAUCUUUAACAAAAUUGGUGUGUAUAUCAAGGACAGCACCACCAACACAACCAUGAGGCUAGGAAGGAAGGUUAGAGGGCUGUACAGAGUAGACUCUCAUGCUACAGAAGUCUACUUCACUCAAAGACAAAGAAUUGUUGCAGAAAGUAUCUGGCAUCAACGAUUGGCUCAUACAAAUUAGAAUAUCUUGAAGCAUUUGAGGAAUUAAAAUCUGAUUCAGUACAACAAAGAACCACAGUCUGUAUGUAGAAGCUGCCAAAUAGCUAAGAGUACUGCUCUACCUUUUCCAUUAUCAAAUUCUACAGCUACAAAACCUCUAGAACAAAUUCACUGUGAUAUUUGGGGACCUUCUCCAGUUAAAUCUUUUCAGAGUUUCAAGUAGUCAUUUUUGUUGACAAUUUCUCUCGGUUCAGUUGGAUAUAUCCAUUAAAGCUGAAGUCAGAUUUCUAUAGUAUUUUUCUCAUGUUUCAAAAGUUAGUAGAAAAUCAGCAUAGCUGUAAAAUCAAGACUUUCCAGUGUGAUGGUGGAGGAGAGUUUAUUAGUCAAAAAUUCAGAACUCACUUACAGAACUGUGGCAUUCAACAGCAUAUCUCCUGUCCAUAUACACCUGAGCAGAAUGGAAUACCUGAAAGGAAACAUCGACAUAUAGUCGAACUUGGUUUGGCUAUGCUAUACCAUGCAAAAAUUCCAUUAAAGUUUUGGGUAGAUGCAUUUGUAACAGCCAACUACAUUGUUAACAUUCUUCCUACUCAAAAAUUACAGAUGCAAUCUCCCUUCAGCAAAUUAUAUCAGCAUAAGCCAAGAUAUGACCAUCUCAGAACCUUUGGCUGUGCUUGCUAUCCCUGUCUUCGACCAUAUGCACAGCACAAGCUUGAUCCACGGUCACUAACCUAUGUCUUUCUAGGAUACAGUGAUCACUAUAAGGGAUAUCGAUGUCUUGUCCCUACUACUAGUCAUGUCUACAUUAGUCGGCAUGUAGUAUUUGAUGAGAAUUUCUUCCAUUUCUCUCAGAAAUUAGCAACCGUUUAUCCUUCCUACACACAUUUGUAUAAGUUGUGGACAGAAGAAGAGCAGUUCCUAGCUUCCUCCACUACAGAUCACAUAAAACAUUCAACUUCUCAGUACACAGGUUAGGAACAAGAAUCCACAGCUAAGCAAACAAAUGGAAUGGUCUUACCUGAAUGCACAGAACAAGCAAUUUCUAUUUCUCCAGCUGAAUUUCCUAUGGAUCAAGUGUCCACCACUACUCAGAAUAGUCCACAACGAGUUGAAAUACCCGUUCCCAUAACUGAGACAACAAAUGGACCAGAUAUGGAACAACACACUUCAAAUAAUCAGACGAAUUCACAAGGUACAUUACCUACACACCCUAUGCAGACUAGGUCUAAGUCUGGCAUUAUCAAGACCAAUCCUCGAUAUACAUGUCUUGCUAUAUAUGAAGUACCUACUGAACCAAAAACAAUCAAAUCAGCCUUAGCACAUAAAGGCUGGUAUAAAGCAAUGACAGAAGAGAUGGAUGCACUUUAUUAGAAUAAAACUUGGGAAUUAAUCCCUCGAAUUGGUCAAAUAAAUGUCAUUGGCUGUAAGUGGGUAUUUAAAACAAAGCUUGCAGCAGAUGGUAGCCUUGAUAGACUUAAGGCUCGACUGGUUGCUAAAGGAUUUCAUCAGGAAGAAGGCAUUGACUUUACAGAAACUUUUAGUCCAGUCAUCAAACAUGCUACAAUUCGUAUAGUUCUAUCUGUAGCCAUGAUGAAACACUAGCCAAUCCAUCAACUAGAUGUCAAAAAUGCAUUCUUACAUGGUACAUUGAAUGAGAUAGUUUACAUGGAGCAGCCUCCUGGUUUUCAAGAUCCCAAGAAACCUCAUCAUGUAUGUCUCCUCAAGAAGUCUCUCUAUGGACUUCGACCAGCUCCUCGAGCCUGGUUUGACAAGUUCAGCAACUUUCUGCUUGAAUAUGGGUUCUUUUGCAGCUCAACUGACCCAUCCUUAUUCAUCUAUCAUACUGAUACAGACACCAUUCUUGUACUACUAUAUGUUGAUGACAUUAUCCUGACUGGAAGCUCCUCUCAGUUACUUUCCAACCUUAUCCAUUCUCUAAGUCUUCAGUUCUAUAUGAAAGACCUUGGCCCACUACAUUACUUUCUUGGCAUUGAAGUUAAAAAAUACUUUUGAUCACCUGUUUCUUUGCCAGACUAAAUAUGCCAGUGAUCUUCUUACUCGAGCUCAUAUGCUUGAGUGCAAACCAAUUACCACCCCUAUAUCACAAAAACCAACUAUUCUAAUAAAUGAUUCUACUCCCCUCUCCAAUCCUAUCGAGUAUCGAAGCUUAGUAGGUGGCCUUCAGUAUCUGACUUUAACAAGACCUGACAUUGCAUAUGCUACAAAUCAGCUGUGUCAGAAAUUACAGAAACUCACUAUUGCAGACUUACAUAAACUCAAGAGAGUUUUGAGAUAUGUCAAAGGCACUAUAAGUCUUGGAGUCUUCAUUCACUCUCGAAGCUCUCUCCACUUGUAUGGGUUCUCAGAUGCAGACUGGGCAGGAUGUGUUGAAACAAGAAGAUCAACAACAGGUUUUUGUACAUACCUUGGCUCCAAUCUCAUAUCUUGGGCAGCAAAGAAUCAAUCCACAGUCAGUCGAUCCUCUACAGAAGCUGAGUAUCGUGCUCUUGCUUCUACAUCUGCUGAACUUACCUGGAUCAGCUUUGUCCUUCGUGACAUAGGAUGCUCAUUGACUCGUCCAACAUAGCUCUUUUGUGACAAUAAAUCAGCCAUUUCUCUUACUAUCAAUCCUGUCUUACAUGCUCGCACCAAACACAUUGAGAUAGACUUUCAUUUUGUUAGGGAAAAAGUCUCCUCAAGGUCACUACAAGUGAAUUAUGUUCCAAGUAACUAUCAACUUGCCGAUAUAUUCACAAAAUCUCUUCCUCGUAUUACACACUAUCAGCUACGAAUCAAAUUAGGAAUUGGUUUCUCACCCAUUCCUAAUUUGAGGGGGAAUGUUAAGAACAGCAAGAACAGAAGCCCUACUGAUGCUAUUACUGAUAUCAGUAAGAACAGGGGCAGUAAGAACAGGGGAAGUAAUAUAUACAAGAGCAACGAAGAGAAAACAUAUGAAGAAGAGGAAGUAGAGAAUAUAAAUGCUGCUGAGAAGAAUGAGAAGAAAACCUGUUUCGAACACUCUGUAUAAUGCUGCAAGUCUUGGCAAGUCUCGGCAGUUAGUUUGGUGUACUUCAGUUUUGGAAGUUAGUUAGUUUUUUGCUUCUGUUAGUUAGUUAUCUUUUCUUCCACUGUUCAAUACCUGUAAAUCAGUUUCCAGAGAUAGCCAUUGUAUAUAAAAGGCUAACUCUCGUGAUUGAAAGAGAUACAAGAAAAUAAUAGAAAGAAGUUUUCCAUCUCAAUAUCUCUCUACUGUUCCUUCAUCCUAAGAUUUCCUAUUUCUUCUGUGCACAUAAACUUCUUCAUUAGAUACGUUUUGCGGGAUCAAACUCAAGUGGGUUCUCAUGUCGAGACAAGUCAACUCAGGCUACCAAGUUCCUGAGGGCCGGAACCCGAUGGCUGAGCACGAAGUUCAGUAUUUCGAGCUCACUUUUCACAAGAGACACAGGGAGAUCGUGGUCGAUUCCUAUUUGCCUUUCAUCAUCGAGGAGGCCAACUCCAUCAAGCAGAAGAAGAAGACGUUGAAGUUAUACUCUUCGAACUCCAAAGGCGGUAAUUUUCGUCCACAAUUAAGUUGGAAUCAACGAGGUUAUCUCUAAAUAUGUUUAAUUUCACAGAAUCAUCUUAGUUCAAUGGGACUCGUCGGAAGUAUCGUAGACAGUUGCAAUCAAAUGGUCAAGUCCAAAUAUAAAUAUUGGCUACAGAAAAGUUCACGUGUAAAAUUUUAAGGGAUAAGUGUUCCAGAAGUCCUACAACUUGUCACGAAAAUGCAUUUCAGUCUUAAAACUUGCAAAAAGUGCAUUUAAGUCCUAAAACUUGUCAAAUUGUUUCAAAUGAGUCCUAAGAUCGACGCCGUUAGUCUUUUCCGUUAAAAAUGCUGACGUGGCAUUUUAAAUAAUUUUUUAUUUUCCAGGUUUAUUUUUUAAUUAAUUUUUAUCCAUUUUUUUUAAAAUUAGAUUUAAAACUAAAAAAUUAAAUUUAUUCUUAUCUUAUUUUCAACAAAAACUAAAAAGAAAAUUUAAUAUUUUAUUUUUAAAUUUUUUAAAAACAAAUUAAAAAAAUAAUAUAACUUUUUAAAUAUGUUUUUUAUAAAUAUUUUAACUAAAAAAAUUAUUUUUAAUUAAAACGUUUUUUAAUAAAUAUUUUAACUUUUUUUAAAUUUUUUGGUGAAAAUAAGAUAAAAUGAAUAAAUUUGAUUUUUUUAGUUUUUAAAUCUAAUUUUUUAAAAAUAAUUAAAAAAUAAUUAAAAAAAUUCACGUGGAAAAUAAAAAAAUUAUUUAAAAUGCCACGUCAGCAUUUUUAACGGAAAAGGCUGACGGCGUUGAUCUUAGGACUCGUUUGAAACAAUUUGACAAGUUUUAGGAUUUAAAUGCACUUUUUGCAAGUUUUAGGACUGAAAUGCAUUUUCGUGACAAGUUAUAGGACUUCUGGAACACUUAUCCCAAAUUUUAAAGAACAUUAGGGUCAAAACUCACUAGAACAGUCUUGCACCUCUUGUAUACUAUCUACUCUGAUUCUGCUCUCUAUUUCUUCUACAGAAGAUUGAAUUUUGUAUCUCCAUCACAAUUUCUUUCCUCUACAGGUUCUCUCUCGGGUAAGUGGUCUCUGGUGAAUCUCAACCACCCGGCGACAUUUGAGACGCUAGCCAUGGACCCAAAGCUCAAGAAGAUGCUCAUCGACGAUCUCGACAGAUUUGUAGGAGGAAGGAGUACUAUAGGUGAUCCAGCAGAAACUUUUGGCACCAAAGUGAGCGUCGUACACAACUUAUGGCAUCAUUAGUGUACUUAUCCCCCUAUAGUACUCCUUCCUCCCCACGGUGGCCAAGCGAUGAUGGCCGAGCAAGCUAGGUCGGCGAUGAUGAACACAAAAAAAAAACCCCUAAUUUCAAUCACAAAUGAGCUAUAUGGCGUAGUUUUUCCAAAGCCAUCCACAUAGGACGGUAACUUAAGUGAUCCGACGGUAACUUUUGGCACCAAAGUGAGCGCCGUACACAACUUAUGGCACCAUUAGUGUACUUAUCCUUACUAUAGAGAGUCGGCAAGGCGUGAAAAAGAGGGUACUUAUUGUAUGGACCUCCCAGCACAAGGAAAUCAAGCCUAGUCGCGGCAAUGGCCAAUUACUUGAAAUUUGACAUAUAUGACCUAGAGCUAAGCGGGCUCUGGAGCAACGCGGAACUCAGGAGGCUGCUUGUCACCACUGCGAAUCGGGCCAUAUUGGUGGUGGAGGACGUCGAUUGCACCAUCACGUUGCAAGAUAGGAGGUCGGAAGCCCAAGCCACAAGCACGAAUACAAUGUCGUCCCCAUAUCGGCAACAAGAUGCGGUACAAUUUUUUUUUUUCUUUUGGCAUUGUUUUUCAGUAUUAGGUUUACUUCUAGUGUUGCCUCCUAUGCAUAUGAUCCAUCCUUGACAUUUAACUUAUAUUUGUCACUAUGAUAUUGAUUUCUUUCUCAUGGAACAGCUGACGUUGUCUAGAUUUCUUAACUUCAUUGACAGGCUUUGGUCUAGCUGUGGCGAUGAACGGAUCAUAGUCUUCAUGACGAAUCAUAGGGAGAGACUAGACCCGGCUCUAUUGCGUCCAGGGCUCAUGGAUGUAGAAGUUCCCAUGCUCUACUGCACUCCGUGCGGUUUCAGGCCUCUCGCUGCUAAUUAUCUUAGGAUCAAUCACCACGAGCUCUUCAACCAUAUUGAGAGUUUGCUCAAGACAGCCAGAGUCACUCCAGCCGAAGUAGCCGAGCAAUUGCUGAAGAGUGACGAACCAGAGGUGGCUCUUAGGGAUAUGGUUACCUUCCUCGUUGAUCACAAGAGGAAAGAAAAUGAUGAAGUCAUCAAGAAGAAAGUUUGUCGGUGCCAAUUGGUCGAAGAAAAUGGAGCGAGUGAAGAGAAAAGCGGAAAGUGCGAACUAAUUGAAGAAUAAAUAAUAAAUAUCGACUGUGUUGGUAUGUUUCCAUCGAAUUUAAUUUGGAGUAUUAUAAAGAUGGUGAUUAUUGAGGUCACAGAAGCAAUUGAUGGAAAGUUAUUGCCCGAUCAUCGAAAUCAUUAAUUAAGUGGGUCGGAUGGUAACAUGGCAUGUAAUCUAAGUGAAUUUAAUCAAGAGUUUAGAUGAACCGUGUGAUAUUUUUUUGGUAAUUGAUAUUCAUAUCAUGCCGGCAUUAUAUUUUGCUUUAUAUAGUUAUAUCACGUCAACGACACAUAAUCAGACAGUAAUGAUUUCUCAUGUUUAGGGCCUCCCAUGAUUUUUUUUUUAGUAUUUGCUUGGGUUUGCCGAAAACGUUAUCCAUCUGGUUUAGUCCAACCAUUUGGUUCAAGGUGUAUAAUGAUCUGAGCACCCUGCUAAUUCUUGAUAGUCUUCCGUUGCACACACAUCAAUUAAUUACUAAAUUCACAUAGGUCCGUGUUUUGAGUAUGUCCUCAAGAAAAUGCGGAAGUAGAGUGGUUUGAAUUCAAUCGAUCAGCGAUAAAAGACAAAUGAGGUCGUCGUUUGCACAAUCCCAUGAGGUUCUCACUUGCGUAAUCAUUUAGGGGUUACCAUUUUUUCCCAGAACACCACAAGCUUGGCAAAAGCGGAAAGACGGCAAAAGGUUCCAACUAUCUCUGGUUUUUCUUGUUCGUAUCGUGCAGCGAGAGUUAAGGGGAGAUUGAUAAAUAAAUCAUUCUAAAUGUAACUGAUCUAUUCAAAUUUUGAUCUUUAACUUGUCCCGCCAAUCAAUAAACAAGCCUAUGCUAUCUAAUUAAACUAAAUUGAAGUGGAAUGUGCCGUGGUUUUGCCUUACAUCGAGAUGCAAAUCAUUGAAUUAGAUGUUGCGUGGGAGAUUGGUCGAUAGGAUUUUAACAUCAAGAUCAAACUUUACGAAGACUUGGACUAAGAACAGUGUAUGAAUUAACUUCGUCCAGAAGGUAACACAAAGGCGUACCAUGCGGCGUUUGUCCCUUUGUGCUUUACAGCCAGACUUCCUCCAUGCGUUUGUCCUUUUGUGCUUUACAGUCAGACUUCCGUGGAGAAUGUCACUAGCUCACCCCUUUAAAUGCAAGACCGACUCAUUGACAAUAACAUAUGCAUCUACAAUUCUCUAAUUCUCUUAUAUAUGGCCACUUGCAACUCACGAUCCCUUCCGAUCAAAUACCAUCUAUACCAAACAAAGUAAACUGAAAAGAAUGGUGACCUAUACCAAACAAAUUAAACUGAAAAGAAUGGUGACCCUGACUCGAAAUGUAUGAAGUUGAAGAGGUUAACAAAGGAGUUAGUGCUAAUUAAACUGUGGGCACGCAUGCGGGUAUGAUGAAGUUUAGUCCACAACCAAUCAUCUCUUUAGGUACACUAAAGAAACCCUACACUUAUUAAUUGGCUCACUUCCUCUUACUUUUCCUAUGUGAGACAAAGGAAAAUGCACUUAGUUUGUUUUACGAACAAACUUCCAACACAAACAACUCCAAGAACCCCGCGUGGCGGCCAAGGCAGUGCUGUCGGCCACAGCCUCCAUGAUGCCUCCAUGAUGGUGGUGUAGUUGCUGGUUUGACGUCAAUGGCAACUAUCUGUGGAGGCAUCUGAGCAUUAAUUUUUGAUGGUUUUAUAUGUAUUGGGCUCAAGGCCCGUCCGCCCAUGCUGGGCCCAAAAGGCCCGCCCCACGGGAAUAGGGCAUGUGGAAGGGGAAGGUAUAAAAGGGAGGAGAGAGAGAGAGAAGACAACGCUUGGCUGAACGUACGUACGUUCUCUCCCUCGCUCUCUCUCCAAAAAGACAAAAAGAACAGUAAGGCAAACGGCACGUUCUUCUUCCCUUCAAGGCGCCAUCGGAUCGAACAAGACCAGAAUUUAUUCUCGAUCUUCAGCAUUGGUGUCUAAUCUGUGGCUAACAAGGUACGCUCGAAUCCGUGGUGUGCUUUACGAUCGGUGAUACGUGUUUUCCCGGGCUUCGUCUUCCGCAUUGAUUUAGGGGUUCGAUUGAGUGUCGAAUCCGGUUUUCGGGGAUCAGUCAUUCCCAACAUUGGUAUCAGAGCCCUAGUUCACGUUUUCCUGACCUGUUUGACGUUUUUUCAUUGAUUUUUCGUAAAAAAUUCUCAGCCGUACGGAUCGGGGCGUGAAAUCCCGACACCCGAGCACUGUACGUCCAUUUUUUUCUGAGUUUCCGUAAGUCGGAAUCAAAUUCUGAAGGAACUGGGUGAAAGGCGACGUCGAGACGAGUCCGGCGACAUGUCGUGCGUCGCCGGACGACGCCGCACGCGCCCACACGCGCGGCCACAAGCCGCUGCGCGUGGGAGCCACGAGCCCGAAGCACUGGCUAUGGCCAGCGCGUUCGCCACACGCGCCGGUGACGAACCGGCACGUGCGCGCCGGCGACCGACGAAACGGCACGCACCGGUCGGCAAACCGACGCGUGCUGACGUCAACCGCUGACGUCAUCGUGACGUCACCCAACGGUCGAUAACCGUCAGGAUGACGUCAUUGAUGACGUCAGCGCCGACGACGGUUGGCCGGCCGGCGACCCGACCCGACGGCGACCGACCUGACCCGAUCAGCCUGGCGCAUGCCGCGCACAUGCGGCUGAUGUUUGCGUGACGUCAGCACGCUCACGCGCGAGGCACGUGUCGGCUGACGUCUGCGUGACGUCAGCUAGUGCACGCGCGCGGCACGUGCGGUCGGUUCGUCCGACCGGCACGGCCGAUUCGACUGGCCCGACCGGUUCCACCGGUCCUCCGACCCGCGCGCCCGUUGACCCGACCCGUUGACCGUUGACUUUGACCGUUGACCCGAAAAAAAAAAAGAAAAGGAAUUUGUUUCUUUUUUCAAUUAUGUCUGUGUGGGUUGUAGGUAAUCCAUUUUUAUUCUGCAUUUGUUGUAUGAAUCAUGGAAAUUUAUGUAUUUUCCAUUUUGUUUAUUAUGGAUUAUAAGUGAUCCAUUUUAGUUCUGCAUUUGUUGCAGGAACUAUGAUGCGUUAUGCACGGAUACCUGCAAUCCCAAGAACGGACGAAGGAAGAGCUAGACUGAAAAGGCUGAUGAAAGAGUUAGCUGAUUAUCGGUGGCUUGAUGGUGAUUUAGUAUCACACAUGGUCAAGGUCAAUCAGAUGAUACAAGAAAUCAUCUGGAAUGGUUAUCUUAUGCCGGACUUUGAGAAGGUGCCGGCUUUGAUGAACACUCUUCCACCUGAAUGGCAAGCAGUGUUAGAUCGGCUAUGGGAGGUCAACGUGGUCCCGGAUUACAGGGGAUUAGUGGAAGCUUUUGUAAGAGAGUACUAUAGGAUUGAAUUGGCCAAAACUUCAACCCUUAGAUUGAGCACCACAUGGCGCAGAGUGAAUUCGCCUUGGUGGCAACAUGAGAGCUCUCCAAAAGUUUUUCCAUGGUUGGCAAAUGUACCUUCAGUUUUCUCAGAUGUUUUGGCUGAUAGAUUAGAAGGGACAUUCCCUAUUUAUUUCUUUGAUUAAUUAUGUAAUGUUUACUACCUGAUUGUUGUUGAUGUAGCAACCGAUAUGUUAGUUGUAUCAUGUGAAAGCAUUGUUAUUUUAUUCGAUGUUAAGAUUUUAUUUGCUUUUUGCUAUUGCUGGUUGCUGUGGGUAAUUAGCUGUGGGUAGUAAUAGAAGUUUUUUGUAACUUCAUAGAAUUUAUUUGCAUAAGACAAUUAUAGUAAUAAUAAUUUUGAGUUAGGAUUUUUGAAGGAUGAUUGGAAACAUAGUGACCUUUUGAUUCUGAAGCCUUACUUGAAAUUAUUCAUUAAUAUGAUGGGUCUAUGCAAAUAGGGAUGCAUAAAUGAUAGGCAUUAAUUAUUCGUGCAUGUAUGUCUGAUGUGUUCAGAACGAUGGUUCAGCAACUAAGAAUGUAAUUGCUGAUAUGAACGGCUACAAUUGUGAAAUAUUGAAUAUGAAGAUUCAAUAUGUGCUGGAAAAGCAAGAAGCACUAGAAGCUCUUGACCAUGUUAUGGAAGAUCUUGAGAAUGCUGUGCACCACCUUGAGCUGGUAGAGGACCGCUUAACGGCAUGUGAGCUGAGAAUAGAUAUUUGCAAUGCUGGUUCUAGCUCAUAAAGGGUUUUGAGCUCUAAGCGCAAGCGUAUUGAUUCGUUCAAUAUGUGGGAAUGCAAAGGAUCAAGUCCUUAUUGCAAGAGAUCAAGAGUUAACCAACACAAGAGAGGAAAACGUCCUCAAGUGAAGAAAAUGUCAAGGGUGAGAUGUUACAACUGUGACAAGAAGGGUCACUAUGCUCGCGACUGUCGUGAGCCAAAGAAGGCAAACACCUCUUGUACAUUUGAGAACUUUACUUUUGUGUCAAGUUCUGCAUUAUUAGCUGAAUCCAAUCAUUUGUGGACUGUAGAUUCAGGAGCAACAGACAAUGUAGCGAAGGAUAAAGGAUCCUUCGUGGAAUUCCGACGAAUACCGACUGGAACUAAGUGGAUCUAUGUGGGAAAUAGCUCCAGAGCUGAAGUUAAAGUGAUUGGCACCUGCCAAUUGAACAUGCGUGGUGGUCGCAACUUGUUCCUACAUGAUGUUCUAAAUGCUCUGGAGAUUCGUCGAAAUUUAAGUGUCUGUUUUGAUGUUGGUUAAGCUUGGUUUUAGUGUGAACUUCCGUAAUAACGGUGUAGAUUUGUAUUUGGAUACAAACUACUAUGGUUGUGGUCACUUUCUGGAUGGUUUUAUUGUACUGAAUGUUGACUGUGGUGAUGUCAAUAUGUUAUUCCCUUGUUUCACGUCUUUUACUUCAUGUGACAAUGAUGUGAAUGUGUGGCCUGCUAGACUUGGUCAUAUUGGCCAACAACAUAUGAAUAGACUAGCCAAAGAGGGCUUGUUGGGCAAUAUUGAAUAAGUCAAUUUGUCCAUAUGUAAGCAUUGCCUAGAAGGGAAAACGACAAGGAAACCAUUUAGAAAAGGUAAAAGAGCUAACGUUCCUCUGCAUUUAAUCCAUUAUGACGUUUGUGGUUCAAUGAAUGUGAGAGAAAGGCAUGGGAUUGUUUACUUCAUCACUUUUAAUAGAUGAUUAUACUCGAUUCGGAUGUGUCUAUUUGAUUUCUCAUGAAUCUGAAGCAUAAGUUGUUUCAGAAGGUUUAUGAACCUAACAAAAAAUCAAUUAGACAAGAAAAUAAAGGUAUUUAGAUCCGAUCGAUGUUGAGAAUAUUUAUCUGAUAAGUUCAGAAAAUUAUGUGAUGAAAAAGGAAUAGAAAGAUAGUUGUCUAUUCCAUAUACUCCUCAACAAAAUGGUGUUGCAGAGAGAAUAAACAGAACCCUACUGGAAUGGUUAGGUCCAAGAUGGCGCAUGCUAACUUACCUAUCACUUUUUGGAGUGAUGCGUUGUUAACUGCUGCCAAUAUACUUAACCGGAUGCCUUCCAAAUCAAUUAUUUCCACUUUAUAUGAGUUAUGGACAGUUAGAAAACCGGACUUAAGUUUACUUAAGCCAUGGGGUUAUGCUACCUAUACUCAUAUGUCCUCUCACAAGUUUGGGAAAUUGAGUCAUAGAUAAAAGUAGAGUAUUUUAAUGAGAUACUCCGAACACUCGAAAGGGUAUGUGUUCAUAGGUUAGCAAGAAAGUGGGAGAAUAACUGAAUUUGAAUCACGGGAUGUCACAUUCUUAGUGGAUGAAUUUCCUAAGAAGGGCGAAAUAGGGAUAGAUUACUUCCUAUUUGAAACCUUGGAUCAAGAUAAUGAUAUUAAUGGAGUUCGUCCAAGUGGGAGUAAUACGAGAAGUGAUGAAUUGAAUUCAACUCAUUCUCAAUUACAACCACAUGAUGAGAUGACAUCGUCAUUAUCUAAUCCGAGUGGGAGCAUAAUUGGGAAUGAUGUACUAAGUUUACAAUCUCCCAUACGGCGAAAAAGUCGCCAAAGUAUUCCCCGUCGAUGUUUUGACAUUGAAAGGGAAAAUUUUAUGGUUGCUCCACAAGAUGAGGAUGAGCCAAGAAAUAUUAAUGAGGCUCUGAAUUGCCCUAGUAAGGAAAAAUUGAUUUAUGCAAUAAAAGAGGAGAUGGAGUCAAUGAAGUCAAACCAAGUCUGUAAACUGGUUGAUCUUCCAAAAUGACGCAGAGCUAUUGGGAACAGAUGGGUUCUCAAAAUAAAGCGAAAGGCUGAUGGCUCGAUAGAAAGGCAUAAGGCUCGCCUUGUGGCGAAGAGGUAUAAUCAACAGGAAGAAAUUGAUUAUGAAAAUACAUUUUCUUUUGUAGUGAGAUUUACCUUGAUUCGCAUAAUUCUGGCAAUAGUGUUUGGUAUGGAUCUUGAGUUAUGUCAAAUGGAUGUAAAGACUGCUUUCCUCAAUGGAGAAUUAGAGGAAGAAAUACAUAUGGAACAACCUGUUGGUUUCAUAGUGAAAGGCCAAGAAGAAAAAGUAUGUCGACUUUUGAGGUCGAUAUAUGGUCUUAAGCAGUCAUCAAGACAAUGGUAUAUACGUUUUCAUAAUGCCAUAAUGGCAUAUGAUUUUACGAUGAUUGAUGAGGAUCAUUGUGUAUAUAUCAAAAGAUCCAAGGAUCAAUUUGUGAUCAUAUCAUUAUAUGUUGAUGAUAUACUAAUUGCCGGAAACAAUAUGGAGUUUGUUAAUACUGCCAAAAGUUGGUUGUCUUCCAAAUUUUGAAUUGAAUGAUAUGGGAUUGUAAACCCAUAAACACUCCUAUUGCAAAAGGUGAAGGAUUGAGCCAUAGUCUGUGUCCAAGGACUCCACAAGAGAAGGAACAAACGAAAUAUGUUCCUUAUGCUAGUGCUGUUGAGAGCUUGAUGUACGCCAUGAUGUGUACAAGACCUGACAUAUGUUUUGCAGUUGGAAUGGUGAGCAGAUACCAAUCCAAUCCAGGUCAAGCACAUUGGAAAGCCGUUAAGAGUAUACUGAGGUAUCUAAAGGGGACUGCUGAUUAUAUGCUGAGUCAUUGAGGAAAUGAUCUGCGACUCUAAGGCUAUUAUGAUGCUGAUUGGGGAGGAGAUUUAGAUAAAAGGAAAUCUGCCUCUGGAUUUGUUUUCUUACCGAAUAAUGGCACCAUAUGUUGGAGCAGUAAGAAACAAAAGUGUAUAGCCUUGUCCACGAGGGAAACUGAGUUCGUGGCAUUAUCAAUAGCAGUAUAAGAAGAUGUUUGGCUUAAGAGAUUAUUGGAUCAUUUAGGUGUUAUUGGAAGUGCUGCAGAUUUGUUAUUGGUUAACCAUGAUAGUCAAGCAGCAAAAGUGUACACUAAAGAUCCAAAUAUCAUGGCAAGACCAAACAUAUAGAUACCAAGUAUAAUUUUGUCAAAGAUAUGGUUGCACGAAAAGAUGUGAACUUAGAGUACAUACUACACAUAGAAUUGUAGCAGAUCCUAUGACAAAGCCAAUACCUAGAGAUGUGUUUUAUGGCCAUAUGAAAUCUCUAGGAUUGCGUAGAGUCUGAUGUACUGGAUUGUAAUUUCCCUGAAGAGUUCACAUUUGAUGAAUUUGUGUUUUUCAUCAUUAAUGCCUAUGAAUCUUUGUUUGAUCUUUAUGCAUCUUAAUGCUCAGUGCAUUACUUUAAGUUAGGAAGUAUGUCGGACAGAUAUAAGAUUAGCCCACUCACACGGGUAAUCGUCUCUAUUUACUGUGUGAUAAAUAGAGAUGAGACUGUUUUUAAGCUUAUUAUCUAGGUGAUAAUCGAGAGCUCAAGCUUAAAACACGUAUGUCGCCUUAACUAGGUGUUAAGAUGAGGACAUAAUACUUACUAUGUCCGAAAGUAAAAUACCCCACAUGUUUUACUUUAUCUGUCUAAGAUGCCAGAUGUGAGUUCUGAUGAAUUUUGUGAAUGAGUAGAUACGUGAACUCAAGUUAGACAUUGGGUAUGUCUGAACUAUCAUCUGUACGGUAUUGAAAGGUGUAGACAUACGCUCCAUGGGAAAGGAGUUAAUACCGUAAUACGUAUUUCAUACUACGUAUGCAUGAGACGACCAAUAAGAGUGGCAAAAGUUUGAUCUCAACUUUUAUGUCGUGUGAGACUCUUGAGGAAGAGAGUUCCUCAAUUUCUUAGUCCCCUCAUGACUCUUACUUAUUUUCAAGAUUUCUAUUUAGUGUUUGCUAUCUUAGGAUGUUGCCAAUGGUCAUGAGUGAUUCGAUCUAAUGGGGCAUUUCUAGAAAAGCAAGCUGAACUGAAAUUGAGAGUUUGAAGGAAAGAGGAAGAUCGAUUUUGGAGAAUCACAUUGUAGUUUUGUAUUCACCGGUUAACCAAUUGUGACUGUCUUUGUGAUAAUCAUAAUUGUGAAUACAAUAUAUAUAUAUAUAUAUAUAUAUAUAUAUAUAUCAUUGUUUGAAAAAGAUCAAGAGAGAUAUAAAUGUGAUCAAUCGAUCUAGGGUACUGCAUACUAAAUCUACUCGGAGUGUGAUGCCCAUUAUGAGCUGCUAUAUAUUCCUAACAGAUGUAUGUCAACGAGCUCUCAAAGUAUGCUGGUCGCACGGAUUAUUCACCGGUAUGAAUGUUGAAGAGAGGUAAAGAGAAUCAUGGUCGGCCCACCAUGUGCGAGUGGGAGAUGAUGGUUUUAUAUGUAUUGGGCUUAAGGCCCGUUCGCCCAUGCUGGGCCCAAAAGGCCCGCCCCACGGGAAUAGGGCCUGUGGAAGGGGAAGGUAUAAAAGGGAGGAGAGAGAGAGAGAAGACAACGCUUGGCUGAACGUACGUACGUUCUCUCCCUCGCUCUCUCUCCAAAAAGACAAAAAGAACAGUAAGGCAAAUGGCACGUUCUUCUUCCCUUCAAGGCGCCAUCGGAUCGAACAGGACCAGAAUUUAUUCUCGAUCUUCAGCAUUGGUGUCUAAUCUAUGGCUAACAAGGUAUGCUCGAAUCCGUGGUGUGCUUUACGAUCGGUGAUACGUGUUUUCCCGGGUUUCGUCUUCCGCAUUGAUUUAGGGGUUCGAUUGAGUGUCGAAUCCAGUUUUCAGGGAUCAGUCAUUCCCAACAAUUUUGUACUACUUAAGAAAAUUUUUGCACCAUACAUGGCUUAAUUGAAAAAUGUGCAUACUUGUCCGAACACUCUGCAUUAUUUUCCGAGUAUGAUGGCUUCUCUCGUGUUGGAAGUAUGGCACUCAUGGGCGCUGGCAUUCCAUUACGAGAACGUAUAGCAGUGUUCCGGUGGGUCUUGUCGGUGAAGUUGAUCCAGUGACCGGUGAAAUAACUGAUUACCAGAUACUUACUGAUAUACUUUUAAGUGUUACUUUUGUUUGUUUCAUUUGUGCUUAUAUGAAAAGCAAUGCACUUUUAGUUGAUGCUUGAUAGAGAAUCCUUUAAAACCAUGUCCACCUGUAGGAUUAUCCUUGUCUGCAAAAUUUGUGUAUUUUCACGUAUAUCUUAGUUAUCUUUCACAGUUACGGCGCAGAAAUGAUCCUGCAAGUUAACUUGAUCAUUGCUAUUUUACUUACAGGGUUUGAUGAGCAUGUCCUUUUCUAGGGUCUGGAAGAUCAUCUUGGAGAUAUGGACUUUAAAAUUGCUGGCACUAGAAAGGGAGUUACGGCUAUUCAACUGGACAUAAAACCAACUGGAGUACCUCUGGACAUCAUAUGCGAAUGUUUAGAACCUUCACAUAAAGGUCGUCUGCAAAUUUUGGACCACAAUAUACAGAGAAAUCAGUUUACCACAUACCCAGUAUGAUAGAGAUACUCCUCAAUUAGGUCAACUUCUUGACUGUUCAUAGUCCCAUGUUUCAUUAGUAUGAAAAGCCAUGCUUUGACUGAAAUUUCGUUAUUUUAAUUCAGCAACUCUUACGUACAUCAAUGAUGCUCUAUAUGAAAUAUUUUGCUUCACAAAGCACCGAUUACAUGUAAUACGAGAAAAGCAUUAUAUUGGAAAUUGUAAACUUUAUUUUAUUUGGUUACUUAGCUAAUAUUUAGUGGGCAUUUUUUAUUAAAUGCUUACAAAUAAAAUAAAAGUUUACUCAUUUUCCCUAACCAAUAAAUACUUCGAGAUUAUACAUAAACGAGAGCAUUUGUGAAUAAAGGUAGUUUGAAAAGCCCCUGCAUCACGUGCUCUUCUCUUUGAAAUCCGACUAACUCAUCUAAAACCCACUCCACCUCCUCUCUUGGUCUGCUUUGCCUCUGCUCGACAAACCUCGACACCAUGUCUAAACAUUCGCAAGAAGGGAAGCCUAAAAGAAGGAUUAUGACAGAUUAAGAAGUAUGUAGAGACAUCGGAGAAUUGAUCCAAGAUUUGGAAAAAAAGUCAGUGUUUUGCGGGAUCCGAGCACUAACUAUGUGUUGGUAUUCGAUUUCUCCAAUAUCACUUUCUUGGAUGAAAUUAGCAGAGGAAUUGGCAGAGGUGGAAAUAGAUCCAGUGUUUUUAGGGGCAUGCAUCGUGGGCAUUCCGUUGCCCUGAUAAAGUUCCCUACUAGACAUGUCACGAUAGAUGAAGAUGUGGUCAAUGUUUUAAUUGAGAGUCAACAUCAAAACACCAUGCACAAUCAUGUAGUGUCUUGUUACAGGGGAUCCAUAUUAAUACUGUAGAGCUUCACUUAUGUAGCUUGAAUGAUGUUGUUAAUUCUCAAUAUCUGCCCUACUAAUGAACCCUCAAUUGUCCAAUAUAAAAGGAAGAUAAAGGUUGAGGGAUAUCAAAUUGUGGAUUGAUGAUAAACCGUCGUGGAUUAUGCUAAAACUUAUGAGGAAUGCAAAAAAUUUGGAUUAGAUGAUGCAUGACACAGCAAAUUAACAUGUUAUUUGUAUUCUGAAAUACAUGGAUUUGAUACCAGGUCUUGAACUAUAGUACAUGAUAAUUUGAGAUCAGAAAAUAUUUUGAUCAUAGAAUUUGAGGUUCUAUUGGCGAAAUCUCAGAUGUCAAUGUCAUGGAUAGAUCAAUCUAACGUUGCUUAACCCAUGCAGCCUUAACAUUUUUCCCAAGUCAAUUUUACUCACAAUCGACUCAUACUUGUGAAUAAGAUGAUACAAAUGAGGGGAGGAGACUCUUAUAUAUAUUAGUACAAGACAAACCGUAUCCGUAGAUCUCUCCUUGAUUUAACGGUAGAUAUUGCAUCUUUCCAACUUCCAAUUACCUGUAUUUAUUACAUGCGUAUAUAAUUAUGUAUCGCCCACUCCAUAGAGCAUUCUAAAACACUUAAGAAAAUCUUAGAAUUUUGGGAGAUAUGUGGCUCAUAUGGUGAAAUCACAUGGUCAAUAAUCUAGGCGAACUCGAUUUACAUAGUCUAUCAACCACCUGAAAUCUUUUCGUGAUCGACAUUCAUAUCAUGCCGACAAUAUAAUUUGCUUUAUGGCGUCGAGAACAGGCAAUGUGGCAGUAAUGCUUUCUCAUGAUUUGGACCUUCCACGGAAUCUCGCAGUUGCUUGGGUUGGCAGAAAAAAAUAUUUGUCUGAGCUUGGAUUCUAGUCCAAUCAUUUGACUCGCACUAAUUCCCGAUAGAUUCCUAGCCAUCCUCUGCUUUAGUCACAUGGGCACGUCCUCCAAGGAUGGUCCCAAUCUCAAGAAAAUGCGCACGAAAUUGAUCGGCAACGAAGAGAAUUGAGUUCAUGCUUCUUUNNNNNNNNNNNNNNNNNNNNNNNNNNNNNNNNNNNNNNNNNNNNNNNNNNNNNNNNNNNNNNNNNNNNNNNNNNNNNNNNNNNNNNNNNNNNNNNNNNNNNNNNNNNNNNNNNNNNNNNNNNNNNNNNNNNNNNNNNNNNNNNNNNNNNNNNNNNNNNNNNNNNNNNNNNNNNNNNNNNNNNNNNNNNNNNNNNNNNNNNNNNNNNNNNNNNNNNNNNNNNNNNNNNNNNNNNNNNNNNNNNNNNNNNNNNNNNNNNNNNNNNNNNNNNNNNNNNNNNNNNNNNNNNNNNNNNNNNNNNNNNNNNNNNNNNNNNNNUCGAGAUGCGAUCAGUGAAUAAGAUAAUCGCCCGGGGCUGGUCGAUCUGGUUUAAAUAUUUGCUACCACCCCUCGAAAGAAAAAGUCCAAGAAGGACCCACCGUCGGGGGCAAGAACCAAGGUCUUCGAAGACUUGGACUAGGAACAGUCCAGGAACCACCUUAGACAAGAAGGAUUCCGUCAUUUGCAGAGAAUUCAUCGCCACUUUCAUCUCCCGAUUCCCUCCGGUCAUAUACCGUCAGUUCCCCAUAGAUUGAACUCAAAAGAAUGGUGACCCCGCCUCUAAACGACUCCAAGAACCCCAUCGCGGUGGCCGAGGCAGCGCUGUCUGCCGCAGCCUCCGUGAUGGUGGUGCAGUCGGUGGUUCGAACGUUCAUGCCCCCCGAAUUCCAGGGCUUCCUCUUCUCUGGGAUCCGCGGCUUCUUGUCUCGCUUCCGCAGCGAAAUGACCAUGGUCAUCGAACAGUACGAUGGGUACGCCCAGAACGAGCUCUUUGGGGCGGCCCAGGUUUUCCUGGCCGCCAAGCAAUCCCUUUCGAUGACGCGCAUGCGAGUGACCAAGUCCCCGAAGGAGGACCACUUCAAUCUGGCUAUGGACCGGAAUCAAAUGCUGGUGGAUACGUUUCACGGGGUCAAGCUCAAGUGGGUUUUCGUGUCGAGACAGGUCGACUCGGGCCAAGUUCAUCAAGGCUCAACGGUUCAGCACGAAGUUCAGUACUUCGAGCUCAGUUUUCUCAAGAAACACAGGGAGAUCGUGGUCAAAUCCUAUCUGCCUUUCCUCAUCGACGAGGCCAAGUCCAUAAAGCAGGGGAAGAAGACGUUGAAGCUAUACACUCCGGGCUCCAAAGGUAAUUCUACUAUUAGAAGUGGAAAAAGAGUGAUGCUAAAUUCACAAAACUCCGUAGUUCAAUCGGACUAAAUGGGAAGUAUCAUAUCCAGCUCAAAAAUAAGUACUUGCUGCAGAAAAGUUAAUCAGUAAAAUCCUAAAGAACAUUAAGGUCAAAAUUCAGUAGAACCAGCCUUGCACCUUCUUAUCUAUGAUUCUGCGUUCGAUUUCUUCAGCAAAAGACUGAAUUUUGUAUCUCCAUCACAUUUUGUUUCCUAUACGUCCUUACCCAGGUGCGUGGUCCCCAGUGAACCUCGACCAUCCGGCAACAUUCCAAACACUGGCCAUGGACCUAGAGCUCAAGAAGAAGAUCAUGGAUGAUCUCGACAGGUUUGUGAG
rnacentral:lncRNA from 1 species